rnacentral:lncRNA from 1 species
CCUUUCUUUCUUUUGCUUUUCUGCCGAGUCCCUUGUAACCGGAGAAGAGAAGGGGCAUAAUGGGAUUGUGGUUUGUGCGAGUCCUUUUUACUUUUAACCCCAGCCCUUCCAAAUCCAAAAAACCAUUUUUGUUUUUGUGUUUUCUUUUAAAUGAUUCUUCAAUUGGAUCCAUUCCAUCCCAUCCAACCCAAAACUUGUUUUUUUUUUUAUUUUCCCUUGUUGGUUACAGUCCACGAUAAUGACUACCUCCUCAAUUUGCCAAAACCAUUUUUCUAUAAUAUAUAUGCCUCUUUGGUUUGAUCAUUUCAUUCCAGAGAAAAGAUUAAAAAUCUUCCUCAAAAGGGAUUCUGCACCUUUUGGAAAUGAAUUUUCAGAUUUGAUUAGAGCCCGAAGUAGACCAAUCAAUUAUAACAGAACAGGAUCAAAUGGACGCAUAUUACUGCACCUGACCACGUAGGUAUGAACACAGAACAAUUUGACAUCACAGAGAAAUUAAUACAACUUGUGCCCGGGGAACUCAAUAGUUUGCCAAAGAAAAUGCAAAAUGCAACCUGGACAUAUUUUUUUUGUAUAUAAUGUGUCCAAUACAGACAUUCCUUUUUUUUUUCUCCAAAAAUACGCAACUCCAAUGAGUCAUCGAAAUGAUGAACAACACUUUCACAUAAUCGCCAUCACAUCAUCGCAUGUAUAUAUAUAUAUAUAUAUUACCACUACUAAUAAGCCUACAUAUAUAUAAAUAUAUAUAUACACAAAAACUAUUUUGACAAGCAGGAGCAGAAGAAUCAAAUGAAAUAAAAAAUAAAUAAUGCUCAGCUUUAAAAUCUUAUGGAAGAGCUCCAAAUGAGUUAUCUAACCCGUCUAGUAUGUCUAAAACAUUAGCUUUUGGAUGUCCCAACUCUAUUCUUGGCGAGCUUCCAGUGCUCCGACUGAGCGCCCACACCUUUUUGCUUCCCUUCUUGGCCACAACGAACUCCUGGCUUUUGCUUCUCCCAGGAACUACUUUUCUCCUUUUCAUAACCUCCUCCAACAGGUUCCUGUCUUCCACGGAAAGUUGAGCUCCGUGGACAUUGCUGUUGUUGGUUAACACCUCACCCUGCAUAUUCAGCCCCUUGCGAGUUGGGGACCGGCUUGGCAGAACCUUGGCUCCAGUGUCCCGAUACUUUACCAGGCUGAUGAGACGGUGAAGCCAAGUCACCAAUUCAAGGAUGUAUGUAUCCAUCUUCUUUUUAUCAGCGUGAUACAGUGUCUGCAAGCGAAUGAGGCUGGUACUUUUGUUCGUGUUCUUACCAAAUUCAGUCCUGCCACAGAGACAAACAGCUUUUCAGUUUCUCGAUCCUUUAACAACAAUCCAACUAUAGCUGGUUCAUAUAAACAAAUUUACUAACCCUGCUGAAUUUGCCCACUCUCCAACCCACCCAAAGCCUUGAUGCGCUCUGCUUUCAUCACAAGUAAGAAAAUGCCAGUGUUAGUUUCCAGCCAUGCCUACCAACAAUCUUGGUAACACCAUAUUUGAAGUAGUCAUACUAAUCAAACAUCAUAUGGAAGAUUAUUAUUUACUUAAAAGACGGUCACAGCAGUUCAUAACGUAGUAUUCCUGACAAUCAUCUUACAUACUUUGUAGUAUCUGCAGCAACAGGAACAAGCCACUGUAGAGUUUUUUCCAUUUCGGCCUUAAUUUGAGGAACUGUAAGCUGCGAAAGAACAUAUAAAUUAUGUACAUGAAGGUUAUGGUUACACGAGAAGUUCACAAUUUUCAAGCCAGCGCACCAAACACGAAUAAAAACAAGGAAGAGAAGAAAACAAUAUUGGGAAGUGUGGUCUGGAGGGCAAACCUCUUCCUUGGCAUCUGUUGGUGGUAACCGGGAGCGUAGAGCUGUCUUGAUGCUGGGAGGCAGCCCAUUAUACAAAGUAUCUCUCAUAUUAGGAGGAAGAGAGGUCGGGCGUGAUGCCUAAAAUCCAACAUCAACUUUAUUAGCAGAAGAGUACCAUAAACACAGGCAAAGCACAUGGGGAUAUCACCACAACAAAUAAAUAAAUAAAGUUAAAAUUACAAAAUAAUUAUACACACACACACACACACACAUGUAGAGAGAGAGAGAGAGAGAGAGACUUACAAUAUUAUCAAUUUGAGUAACUAAAUUAGCAUAAUGUAAAGCAAGACCAGCUACACCUAGUCUUUCUGGUUUAGUAGGCUCUCUCCCACUAGCCACCAACCCUGUAAUAAAAAUGUCGUUAGGCUCUUUCCGAUUUAUCAAUUUUGCAGCACAACAGACAGCUAGGAGAGAAAACUACCAAAAGAGAAAAGGUGAAACGUAUUGUAAUGAAAAACAGAUUAUGCCCAUUCAAACUGGGCAAUAUAAAUUGUAGAUCAAUCAUAAAUUUGAUAGCAAAGUAUCACAUGUAACAUCGGUUCUUUUCUUUGAGAAUCUUGUGUCCAAGCAUGCUAGCAUGAACUAUUUCCACACCAGAACUAGCAUGGAAUAUUUCCGUAACAAAAAAUGAACAUGUGAAAAUGUAUUUUUCAUACCAUUAUCUCCAAAUGCAUCUGAAAUCUCUUGAUGUAUAAAGGUAACUACAUCAACCAGUUUCUCAACAACCUGCAGUGGCAUCACACAGGGCAAAAAGAAAAGCAGAUGAUUAGCGGCACAGAUUAAAAUGAGAAACUUGGUAUAUAAAGCAAACAGUUUCUCAACAGGCAAUACUCUUCUUUUAAGACGUAAAUGUCCUCUUUAGACAAUAAAUCCAUGCUAAUGUAAAAGCUGGGUCCAGCAAAGAAUGAACAUCGCACUCCUCUAUUAGAUUGCCCAAAAAGGCUGCAUUCAGCAAAGAAUAUAAAGCAAGUGAUUUUAUUGAAUACCUCCUCCAAAGGUUUAGACCACAGAGAUUUCUUUCUCAAGGUUCUAACGAGUUUUCUUUGAUGUUUUAGCUCACUUUGUAAUAUCAUGAGACUUUCACCUGUGAGACAUUUAACAAGAGCAAUUAUCAGCACUAGUCAUCGGUAAUGGUAAAGAACAAAUUCCACCACAUGUAUUCUCAGAAAUAAACAGAAAAUGAUUUCACUAAAUCGUAUCUGAAAAAAAAAAAAGGAAGUAGUGUAAUGAGUCAAUUUAGGGGAAGAAGCCAAGGUACAAGCUGUUGAUGGUACAAGGAGAGGUCUAGCAAAAAUAAAAAACAUCAAUUGAACCUCCAACACCAGAUAUAGGAAGUAAAGGUUGAGAAUGUUUUAGUUGUACACUUAAAUUAUCACAUGAAACAAUCCAUACCAAAAUAUAUGUGUUACCAUUGACAUAAACCAUGAAAUCUCUCAUAUAAUAAUCAGGUAAUUUGAUAUUUCCACAGAUAUUUGUUUUAUUGCACAAGUCCAAAAGACACAUAAAGCUACAGGCAUUGAACAGGAGGAGGACAACAAGUUCUCAUUUUCCAUUACGCGCCCCACACCCCCCGCCCAAAAUGAAAAAGAAAAAAGGAUAUAAAGGAAUAGAAACCCAAGUGAGAGUGAAAACACAAAACUAAACGUGAAAAGUAUCCAUGCCCAAACCUUUCCGAGGAAGGUGCAAGGAGUCAACUUCCUCAAGCUUCCGACGAUAAUCUUGUUCAAAUCUGUCCAAAGCAUGGAAUUCAUGAUAUAGUUCCUGCAGCAAAGAAACAGGUGCACCACCCCAAAUUAGAUAGCAAUAGAGACUUCUACUUGGUUCAAUAGAUUAGGCUCAAUUUAAAAUGUCUCCUUCUUUUUGAUAUGAUUCAAUCACAGAGAACAAACCAUGCACAAUUUAUUUAUUGGUAUAAAGUAAUUUUUCAAAAUUUGCUUCAUACAUAUUGGAUUGUGUACUCUUUACAGCAAACAAGUUUACAAAGAAAUUUUGAAUCAAACAAGGUAACAAUGCUAUGGUGUGUGAAUAAACCCUUGGAAACCCAAAAAACACGCAGCAGACGUUAUCAAGUACAAAUGGUAAGAAUAAAUCUAAAUUGCUGCCCAAAUUUUACAAGCAUGAAAGAUUAUCAAAAGGGGUUGUGUUUGCAAGGCAAUUGAUACCCUGCUAUUAGUAAAUUGAGAACCCUUUUUUUCAUUUUUGUGCCCACAUCAAUAUUACAUUGCAAGGCUAUUAAACAUCCCUCAACACAUAAACUUGGUAAGCAGAAUAUAUUCAACAAUGAGACAGAAUCAAGUUUUGUAACUCUUGAAUGUUGCAUAGUGAGCUGAGUGUGGAAAUUGAAUCUUAAGUUUCUAGAACAGGGCAAAUAUUAGUAAAUAAAAUGUCCCUUCAAGUUGUUCAUACGACUUGUAUGCAAAGUGUCUCAAAGGAAAGAAAAACAAACAACAAGGACUAACCAUGUUUAGAACACAAUUAGUAGCAAUGCCAUCCAGUUAACAACAGCAAUGCAAUAAGAUGUAAAAAGUAUCCGAAAAUGAAAAUUGAGAACCAUUUAAUACACUACGAAACUGUAAAACACGAGAACACUCACAGAAGUAUGCUGAGCCAGCGAUGUCAAUUCUUGCAUGGUCAUUUCUGCCUCUUCUCUUGGUAGCUUAGGAUUUACAGGGUCUGAGUCCAACCUAAGACAUUAAGACCGUAUUAGCAAACAAUUUUUUGAAUCUUUGACAAGAGAGCCUUGCCAAAGGCUAAAGCAAUCCAGCUUACUUUGAAAAGAAUCGUCCCAGGUUGUGCCACUGUGGGUCUUUACACAGAUCCCCAAAUCUAACGACUUCUCGAGAAAAGACAUCAAAUUCCUCCCUACAAAAUGCAGAAGCCAAUAAAUGACAUAAGAUUUUUCUUAUUUUAUUUUAUUUUAUAUUUUUUUGCUCAAUCCAGAAUGAAGUUCAAAAACCAAAAUCUAGAAAAUUUGUUUGUGCGGGUAACAAUGACCCAUACUGAAUAGGGGGAAAACAUAAACCAGGAAGAAAACUAGAGAUCAGAGAGAAGCUAGAAACCUUUUGUCAGUGGCUGCAAUGCUGAGCAGCUCCUUCAUAUCAGUAGAGACUAGCUGUUGUACCCCUUCAGAAUGUAGAAUUUCCUUUUUCAGAAAGCGGAUAUUAUCUUCAGAAAGGGAUUGCAAUAGAUUUGCUCCUUUGGCUAUAGUAUUGGCAACUUCAAAUGCCAAGAUAGCUAUUCUGUUCCCUCUUGAAGCCAUGCCACCGAUAAAUCCACUGUUAUUUAAAUUUGACAUGCUACUACCUAAUGUAUCCAGUACUUCGACUGCCUUUUCUAGUCCUGCUAUCCCAGCCUUUCCAAGAAAUGAGCUCACUUGAGGCCCCUGUUAAAUGAACAUCAGAUACAUGAAUUAGUUUCACAUUCACAUCGUUUUAGUUCAAAAACUUUUGUUAGUAAAUCACCUUAAGUACAAGGAGAUAUUCCUGUUAAAGGCACACUCCAGGAAUACAUUUCCAUUUUCAUUGUGAAUGAAUUGGCUUACAGAAUACUACGCUUAGACAAAUCAAACUUUGAACUAACAUGGCAUUUUCCAGCAUAUGCCAAGUAGCACUAUCAAAGAGCAAAAAUAUUGCUCCUAAAUGAUUCAAAGCCUAUCAUUCUCAUGUUUUAGUAGCUUUUGUUGAUGCACGUCCCAAGGCUUAAGAAUUUGAACUGAUAUUUUCACAAACCUAUAUCAGACAAUGAAACCAUUUAAUUUCUUCAUAAAUCUCAGACAAAAAAUUUUACCAUCACCUUAGCACCAUUUACUUUCUCCAUAUUUUCACAUGAUAUAGCACCAAUUAUCGAUCUUAGGCGCUUUACUUACAUGCAAAGCGACAGAAUAUGUAUAGUAUCUUCUGACCAAGAAAUUACUUUAAAUUUAUGCCAGAACGUAUCCUCAAUCAAGAUUUGUAGAUUAUUGGGAAGAGCUCUAGCUCCCACAAUUUUUCCUAAUGUAUGAGCCUUUCUGUUGUCAGAAAUUGGCUAGAGAAGACUUCUGGAAGGUCAUACUGAUUGUUGCAGGAUCUACCAUAACCAUGAUGUUUGAAACAACAUUGUACGAUAAGCCCACGGCAUAAGAAUUUAGCAGGUUGUUAGAUAUAUGGCGUUAGAAGCAGAAGAGGGCACAAGACUAAAUGAAGUGCCUCCAAUAUGAUCUCAACUCCCUAACAAACCAUCAGCACUCUUUUGAAUUUUUUGACAGUAACAAGCUUAUCCAUAUUGACUCAUCAAUAGAAGCCAGAAUUGCCAACCAAAGUGCGACAACCAUACACCAUCCACACUUCUAUGUGUCUCCAACUCGUUCUAUUUUUAGUCUACCUCUGGCAUUCAUUUCCCAACAUUGUCCUUUGCAGUCCAGAGACAUACUUUCUCCAUUUUGUCGAUCAGAGUAGAGUAACGCAUCCUUCUGCCAUCCCAUGAAAACUCUGAGUCUUAACUUCUCCAAUCACCAAGAUUAUAACUUGAUAGAAAUGCGUUUCAAAAGCUCCUCAAUCACAUAACUGUAACAAUUAGCUACAUAAAAGAGAGACCACUGACAAUUCCAGCAGUUAAUCCUCGAUCUCAUUGCUCCUCCUUUAACAAAACGCUCUUAUUCUACAAUUACCUGAACAGCCAAUCACUUUCAGCCGAUUGCAUAAAACUGCAAAAGCUAAAAUAAUACGAAGGGAUGCUAAGUGAUCCAUGUAGUACCAUUCUAUGCUGGCAUAAAAUGACCAUCUUCUCCAAUCCCAAUUGUUCACACAAAACUAAAUUCUGAUCACAUGAUACCCUUCAACCAAACAAGAUAUUUAAGCAUAAAAAAGGGAAAAUGCAUUUCAUCUGUACCUUGGCAGCUGCAGGUGUCCUUGCGGGGGUAGAAGGUUUCAAUUCUCUAGAAAAAGAUAAUUGCAAUUCACCAGAAUCAUAGAGAUUUGAAGUCUUCUCAAAAGCAUCGAAAUCAGGAUAUGCAUGGGAAGAAUCAUCAAUCUUAUUCUGCUGCUUUCCCCCUGAACUCUUCCCAGACUUGAGCUUUCCAGAAAACCCAGAACUUUUGUCGUGAUGCUCAUGGUUUCUUUCCUCUAGCUCCGAUUUGUUGAUACUCCUCUUGUUUAUCCCAUUUGAGCACACUCCUCCCAUUCUUCACCGUGCCCCCAAGAAAACAAAAAGAAAAACUCAAAAACCCACAAAAAGCUACAAUCUUUAAAAUUAACACCUGGAAAAACACAAUACCAAUGAAAACUGUCAGCAACCCAUAUCAGGAAAAACUGAAAAGUGUUUGAAAAAUGGCAGAGCUGAAACUUACAGAUGCAACGAACAGGAAAUAAAAAUGUAUCGUUACCAGCUGAUUGAAGAAAAAGAAAAAAAAAAUUUGGACUUUACAAAAAUACAGUCUGAGGGUUAUCAAGAUUCAAGAAUUGGGGAUGAACGGUGGUGAGCAGCCAAGUGGGCUGACUGAGUAGAAUAAGAACAGAGGAGGACAACAACCAAUUAGAAGACGCGGACACGGAAGAGAGGCAGAGGAGGGAGUCAGCAAAAAGACACGCUUGACUGCUCUUUUUUUUUUUUGUCUUUUCUUUUCUUUUGCGAACUAAAAUUUGAUUUCCGGGUGGAAAUGGAAAUUGAAUCGGAAAGGGCAAUGGGAAUGGAGCGGUGGCAGAGUUGAAUUCCCAGCAGCAGUGGCAGUAGUGGUAAAUUCCUGGGCAAAAUAAAAGUCUUGCUGGGCGGGUCUGAAUGGGGCUGCCAUUUGAUGGGAUGGGAUGAGAUUUGUGAUUUUGUGAUUUGUGAAGUCAGUCAGCCAGUCCGCCCCUCCCCGCCUACCUUGUUUGGGGGUUUUGGUGAGCAUCUGACGUCACAUUCAGUCUUGGACUUGCUCUUUUACCUAUUUGCCCUUUUUCUUGCUUAUGUUAAUCCUUGGCUGAGAUGUGGUUUAAGCAAGAAGCUCUUUGAACCCUUUCUUUUUUUCCCUUUUCAUAAGAUGAAAUGAUCAUUACUAUUCCAACUUUUAAUAGUGCUGGUUUUGGCAUUGACCCAAAGAAUGGCCUUAUUGGUCUUGUGGGUUAGGAACUUGGGAACUUCCGUUCAACUUCCAUCUCUUUUUUUUUUUGGGUUUGAUUCGUCUUUAUCGGCUCGAGGGGAAGAAAAGAAUUGCACAGUUUUGCUCUUUUUGUUUUUAACAUUUGCUAAAGUAGAGAAUUAAAACUUGGCAUUACAUCAUUUGAUCAUCUUCUCAAGGGCAUUCUUUCUCCACUAGACAAUUACUGACUUUGAAGUUUGAAUGCUAAUAAGAUGGUGGCCCAAACAACAAAAGAAUACUCACAUCAAUGGUUAGCCUUUGACUACAGAAAAAAAAAAAAGUAGUAUUAUUGUUGACUUUUGUGAUAAUUGUGUAAAGAUUAAGGAUAUUGUUGUAAAUGAUGCAGAUUACUAUUUCUGUUUCAUUGAUUGCGGAGUAGUAAAUGUUCUAUGAAACUUAAGCAAUUUUGUUUUCAACAGAACAAGUCCAAAUUGACAGGUAUUUUAAGAAAGUUGACAAAUUCAAUUAUGUGUCUCUAUUGGUUGAGUAAUAUAUACACGCACACAUACUUCGAGUUAAAUACAGUAUAUAUUUUAUAAACUUUUGAGUUAAAUAUUUAAAUUCAUGAAAGACCACUAAAUCCAGGCCCUAAAACAUUAUUAAUAUUAGAUUAAUUUACUCUUAAGUAAUUUUGCGUGUUAUUAAAUUCUACAGAUUGGACAUCAAAAUUUUAAAGGUAUAAUAAGCUCACCAUGGUAUGGUGCCCACUCGGCGCCACCUAAUGAAUUUCUUCCAUAUAUGAAACUCUAAUCUAGUAGUCAACAUGGAGUUGCAAAAAGGCAAAAGGAAUGAGAAAAGAAAAGGAAUAUGCUCUUGCUUAAGAAAAUCACGAAUUUGACUUUUUGCCCAUCGGUACAGUACUUUAUACUAGUUUAGUUUAUAUUAUUGUAGCAAAGCCAAAAGGUGAAUGACAAGCGUAACCAAAUUCAAAACAAGGGAUAUAAUGGUCAGUUUGACGAAAACAGCAUUUACACUUGGUCAGGGUUGUCGGGGCCCACUAAAGCUGAUAGAUUUGUACAUAAGAUUUGUAAAAGAGUCUAUCGCCAUUAUUCUGCUUCAACCACUCUUCCUCUGAGUCUCUUACUAUUAUUUCGUACUUUUACCGUUUCAACGAUAAUGAAAGGGUCAUUCAAACCCCUUUUCGUUUUCAGCAAUAUAUAUAUAUAUAUAUAUAUAUAUAUAUAUAUAUAUAUUUUUUUUUUUUUUUUUUUUUUUUUUGUGAAAUCGACUAUUUCAAGUAUCCAAUUACCAAAAUGCUGUCUUUAAAUAUAAGGGAAAAUUUUAUUAUAAUUUCUUAGAGAGGGCAUGAUUGAAAAAUGCUGCGCGAAAGUGCUAAACUGGCCUUUACAAGAAAACACAUUAUUUUGUUUAAUAAAAAAAAAAAAAGAAGAAGAGGAAUGGCGUGAGGAAGUUAAACUGCUUACGUGGGCAUUUUCCAUUGGAUUACUCGUAUCGUACCGGUCCUCGACAUCAAUUGUCAACUACCAAGCCCAACGAAGACGCCAAAGCAUUGAUUUAGAAUCUUGCUAAGUAGUAGUACCUUUCACACCUCACAUGAUUUUUUACUAGUCAUCAUAUUAUAUUCUACUAUUGCUAUUGAAUUAAAUUAGUAAUGUGUCCCAUUUUUAUAUGAAAUCAGAAAAACACCGACCCACACACAAAUAGGCAGUAGUGAUCCGCCUGAGAUUGAGGUUUCAGAAAUCCGUUUGGAUUGUUAUUUUUUGAAAUUUUUAUAGAAAAAUAUAUUAUAAAAAUUUGAUGUACGUGCACAAAAAAAAAAAGUAAUUAGCAAAUGCGUUAAUGUUCUUAAUUUUAAUUCUCAUCUUUUAAAUCUCAACCCUCCUUUAUUAAAAAAAAUAAAUUAAAAAAUAACAGUGACACGCGGAUAUUUGGAACUGAAAGCGCAUGCAAAAUUCAGCCCCCCUCGGUUAGCUCGGGUGGCCUGUGUAGCCUCCUUAGGUGAGACAGGUCUGGGGUUCGACCCUGAGCUUGAGCAACCGGGGUAAUACUCUCGGGGAUCGGUGGGGUCCGCUCUCCCUGGGCGAUGGGACUAGUGGCACAUACGGUAUUACCAGUCCGGAGUGUUCGAUACCCAGCGACAAAAAAAAAAAAAAAAAAAAAAAAAAGCGCAUGCAAAAUUCCAGAUCCAGCUAGGUUUACUGUCAUAAGCUGACUCGGUCCACGGUCCAGACCGAGAGUUCGUGAUCAAGAUAAAGUGCACGUCCAUGCUUUUUAAUCUUUUGACCUUUCGUUCUGGAUUGCUCGGACUUUAUCUCUCUCCUCUUUUCUUAUCGUCUUUGGGGAAUUCUCCUCAUAAUUCAAGUUGGAAUUUCUAAUGUACAGCACAAUAAGUGCAUAGAAGUAAACCGACGUUUAGGUAAGGGAAUGGAUGACGAAGGUUUUGAAGAAUUUUACUUGGUGAUGAUUUGAUCGAUUUUUUUUUUUUUUAAAAAAAAAAGGAAAUGCGUUGAAUUUUGAACCUCAAGUUUUAAUGAGCAAGCAAAGAUCAGUACUAUCAGUGGAAUAAUUCUCUUGAUGCCCGAUGCGGUUGUAACAAAUGCCAUCUAGCAAUUUGCAGUUUUGUCACUCGAGGUAUCUCAAUGCUUGUCUAUACUGCAGUUAUUAUAUUCAUUAAUAAAAUCCAUGGUCGAGGCUUUGAAUGGAAAUACAAUUCCUUCUAGAAUGCGUUCUUUUCCAAUCAUUCUUCUCGACAAAUGUCAUUUUGGCACGUAUAUACUACUUGGAUUUUUUUUUUAAUCAAAAACAUGUAUUUUCAUUGUAUUAUCUGCACUACUUGCAAAAAUUACAUCAAACAAGAUACAAAAUACAUACAUAAAUUUAUGUAAAUCUAAAAAUCAACAGAUCUAAAAGGUCAAUAAGUAAUAAAUAUAAAGACAAUUAAUAUUGAAACUUCAAAAACAUCCUGUGUUCCGAUGAAUCAUUGCAACUCAAAUUCAAUAGAUUUGUAAAUGCUUUUCAAUGGUCUAAUCGAAAAUUAUGGGUCUGUAUGAAUUACGUGUUUCUAGAUGUGUUUUGAAAAAUUACACUAUAGUAUUGUAUUGAAAAACUUUCUAGUGUGGAUGGAUUUCAUAUGGAUUAAGUGCUUUUGGAAAUAUAUUUUGGGAUUUUUUAAAAUUAAAAAUUCAUGGGGUUAAUUUUUUUUAAUUUGUCAAUUUUCACCACCACCACCAUUCCCUUCCCCUCCUCCCUCCUUCAUCGCUGCUACCUCCCUUUUCCCUCCCCUUUUUCCCUGCCUCAUUCUCUUCUCUCUUCCUCCCCUUCCUUUCUCCUUCAUUCUCAUUCGCGCUUUUCAUUCUCCUCCCUCCUCCCCUCCCUUCCUCUCAUCUAGUUACGGUCACAAAAAAAUUAUAUAGUCAAAUGUAAACCUUAAUUUUAAGUUUAAUAGAUGACUUAAUUUUAUACAACUAAACAAAAAACUUAUUUUAAUUUUGUCAUACUUUUACACAAACAAUUUUAUUAUUUCAUUUUUUAAAAAAAUAAAAAUAAUUUUCUAACUACUCAAAUGUUGUCACAUGAUGAUAACAUUUUCAGUUUGAAAUUUAAAAGAUUAACUGUAUAAUUAAAAAAGUAAUAAGCUUAUUUAAAGAAAUAUUUGGUUAUCAAAUAAAAACUAAGUGAGCGAUCAAGUCUUAUACACAUUUAAAUGAAAAUCCAAUGUUCACACAUUGUCAAAAAAAUUACAUACACUUGGUUUCUAACGAAAAAAAGACCCAUAAUUGUUUUUAAAAAAUCAGUCUAAAAAACCGGACGAAUUUCUAGUUGAACCAGCGGAUCAAACAAGUUUGUUCAAAUUUGAUCAGGUUAACUCCUUAUUCAGUCAAGUUAGAGGCCGGGCCUAAACUAAUGGUUAGUUCAUUGGACCGAAUGGUUAAACUUGCACUAUGCAUGAAUGGUCUCAGCUGCAUAACUGUGUAUUUAUCUUUUCUUUUUUAAUUUCUCGUAAGGGAGAGAUAUGAUUUAGGAAGUGUGAUGGGGAAGGGGGACUCGAAUUCAUAUUUUUAAUUUUUGAGAUCUCAAUCUUACUUAUUAGACCAAAACCCUCUCAACAAACUUAUUUAUCAAAUAGUUUCGAUAGUGGAUUAUUUCAGAAAUCUAUUUGGUUGCAUCAUCAAUAUUUUUUUUCAAUCAUUUACUUUUUUAACUCGCAUAUAUCACAUGUAUUUUUAAAAAAAAAAAAUUAUCCGAAACAAUCUAUUAUCUAAACACACUAAAGUAUUUCUUAAAAUAUCAUGAUUGUGACUCAAAAUUUGCGAACAUACUAGGGUAAACAUGGUAAACAUUUGAGGAUAUAAAACUUGUGAGACCAAGAGGAAGGGAAGAUUUUAAUUAAACAUUAUGAGACCAAGUGCGAUGGUAACUUUUUUUUUUUUUUUUGUUUUUUAAACGAUAGUUUAUAUUGAUACUGUAGUAUAGAACUUACGAGAGAGGAUUUUUUAUUAUGGGGAUGUUGUGGUAUGCAACCGUAUGAUUUUUCAGGAAAACAACUCAAGAAAAUAUGUAUGAAUUUAAAAGUAACCCAAGACUCAUAUCCUUCUUGAAUAUGAGCUCUGGGACAUCUUGAAUGAAUUUAAAAACAUAUUUGAAGAAAUUCUGACCUACAUUUGGAAUGGUUGCGGAUGAUGAGCAUCAGUGCCUUGUAAUAGUGUGAUGUGGAUCAUCCAACUCAGAUUCACAUAAUGUAAGGAUUCUGCUUGAAUAAGCAUUUGAACAAAACCUCUACUCAGGAGGUUGGGACAUCUGUAGAUGCCCUUACGAGUAGGAAUCAUCAAAAGCUAGGUAAAGUCCAACAAAGUGAUCCAGCAAGCGUUCAUUGAUAAGAAGGGGUCUGGGAAAGCUUGAACCCACUCCUGCAUUCAUGCUGUGCUGCAUAGGUAGUUUCAUCACUGAAAAUAUCUUUAGACCAUUCAAUUUUUUAGGGUGAAACUCUGCGUCACUUGAGAUUGACUUGAGUUACUGAAUACUUUUUUUCAUUUAAGGUGCCUAGCCUGUAACAUUUGCCUCGAGGCUGAAUUCCCUUGUGGGAUCUGGAUACUUUUUUUUCAGCAAUGAUAAUAGUUGUAUAAUCGAAUCUAUCAUAUUUUAUAGGAAAGAAAAGCCUAAAGAGGUUAUGUAAGAGAUUAGUAGGCAUACGGACUUGACUAGAUCAAAUGAGUGUUCUGACACCUCUUUUAAAUUCUCUUCACUAUAGGUGGGUUUUGAACCCUCAACCUACGAUUCAAAGAAAGAUUUAGUACAUAUUUAAUGACCAUUGAGUCAAAGUUUCAAUGGUUUGGGAUCUAGAUACAAGGGUGCUCAAAACUUUUCUUUCUAUUUGUUGAACUGAUUAUUUCAUUUUGACAGAUGCUCCUUUCGUCUCCCUUUUAUCCUGCGUCUUCCACAAGUGACUAAUAUGAAAAAUCUGGUGAUUGUUGCUUAAAAAGAUGAAUUCGUCUCGUCUUCAAAUUUUUGUUUGGCCACAUAUACAUGAUUUAAUUUUGUUUGGUCACAUGUACAUGACUGUGGGGCAAUUCCCCUGCCACCACCAACCCAAACAAGAAGAUUGCAAACUAUUUUUACUUGGAUCAUUAAGACGCGUCCAGUUUAUUGUGGGAAUGAUACUCCAAAGUAUCAUCAGUUGAAAGCUGGAGAAUCAGCCAGUUUGACGUAGGUAUGGCACACCAAGUAUCAUCUGCCGCAGGAUUGGUUUUCCAAGUAUCAUCAGUCGAAAGCUGAGAAAUCUUCUCUCUCUCUUAGUAUUUACAUUCAUCGGCUAUCCUUACUUUGAAAAUUUCUUCAGUCUUUUACGGUUAUUAUUUCUUGAAUUCAAGAUCCCACUGAAUUAUCAACUUGAAAAAAUUAACCAAUAUUCGAAUGAUAAAGGGUUGAAUAAAGCAUGAAUCCAGAAGAAAAAAACACACAGGCCAUGAUGCUGAAACGUUUGGUUGGGCCGGAAAUUCUGAUUAGUCAUAAACUUCUUAACUCUUCUUCUUCAAAAGGGGACGUGCAAACUUUCGAUUGAUCUCACACCAAUUACAAGUAUAUCGAGUUAAAAUCAUCAAUUACAUUUUAACUAACUAAAGACACAUUUAAUAAAAUUUAAAUCUAAAAUUUUAAAUUUUAAAUUUUAAAUUUAAAUUUAUUAAAUUAUGCAAUUAUUAAAUAUUAAAUUUAAUGCAUUUAAAUGCAUAAUUCUGACUGAAUAAAUAAAUAAUUUAUCAUUUAAUUUAAAAAAAAUUAUCUAAAAAAUUCAAUAACAUUUAAUUAAUUUAAAUACUCAAUUUUUAGUUACCAAAUAAUCCGAAUAUUUUAAAAUUUAACUUUAUUAAAUUUUAAGUACGAAAUUAAAUUAAGACUAUCCAGCUUAAGGAUGAAAUUCUUUAGAAGGAAAAACCCGGUCAAUUUCUUAUCUUAGUUGUGUUAUACAACCCUCUUUAUACUAUGAGAGGAAGACGACUAGAAGAGGACAUGAAGGAAGCCCAUCGUACUCCAGCCACAGGUGUUAGUAAGUAAUACCGGCCGGGCAUUUUUGCGUUGGGGUCGCGUGUUCAGAACCUCCAAAAAAUGCCCAUUUCUCAUCUUAAAUUUUCUUAUACGAUACGAUAUCUCCGAGAGAGCUUUUUUUUUUUGUCAGACUUUUUCAAGUAAAGCAAUUAAACCUAAUCCCAAAUCCAUCUCAAAAGCAGGCAACUCAGGCAACUUGGAACUUAACUACCCGACCCUCGAACCCAUUAGAAUCGAACAACGAAAAGGUUGGAAGGGAAGCUUCUACCCCUUAGAAGCUUCUACUGGACCUUAUCCGAGAGAGCUUAAAAUUGUAUUCUCAUAGGAGUACAUACCAUCUGUCAUCCAACCAGGAUGCGCACCGCUUUAUUUUGUCUUAUGGGGGAAAGUUUAUGCGACUGACAACAUGCCAAUGAUUGAAUUUCGACCAAAAUUGGAACCGAUUGAAAAUUAAGAAAACAAGAGAUCAAAUUAAACAACCAUAAGCAAUUAAUCUCAAAUUUACAAGACCCUGAACACACCAAUUAUUUCAUAAUUAAGCGCACUAACCUUCCACAUUAAGGAAAAAAAAAGGUCAAACACAGCAGUAACAGGACCACAACCGCAUUAAUGAUAGACGGAUAAUCGUGUGGUGGUCAGCCUCCCAAUCCAAUUUCAAGUCCCAAAACCGAAGGACUCAAAACCCACCAACACUCAAAACAGGAUACAGAAGGGUAGAUAGGGAAAAAAAAAGUGAUUUGGCCAUUAUUUAUUACAAGACCUCCUUGAUGUCUAAAACAUCAAAUUACCCCCAAAAAACCCAGAUCUAAGAAAGCUGGCCGCAGUUGGAGAUCACCACCGGCUUGGAGGUCCUUCCAGAAGAAGACCCAACCUGCUCAACCGCCUUCACCACAUCCAUACCCUCCGUGAUACGGCCGAACACGACGUGCUUGCCGUCGAGCCAUGCGGUCUUGUCGGUGCAGAUGAAGAACUGAGAGCCAUUGGUGUUGGGUCCGGCGUUAGCCAUGGACAAAAUCCCUGGACCAGUGUGCUUCUUGAUGAAGUUCUCAUCCUCGAACUUGGAUCCGUAGAUCGACUCGCCUCCGGUGCCGUUUCCGGCGGUGAAGUCGCCUCCCUGGCACAUGAAACCGGGGAUCACGCGGUGGAAGGUCGAUCCUUUGAAGUGCAAGGGCUUACCGCUCCUUCCGACGCCUUUCUCGCCGGUACAGAGUGCGCGGAAGUUCUCGGCGGUGCGGGGAGUCGUGUCUGCGUAGAGCUCCAUGCAGAUACGGCCGGCAGGGCUACCGCCGAUGGACAUGUCGAAGAAGACUUUAGGGUUGGACAUUCUGGUUAAGGAUUCGGAAUAGGAUUACAAUUGGACUGGAACCCAAGUGAGCCAGCAAGUGCGAAGAGGAGUAAAGCGAGUGAGACGAGGAGGCUUGAUGUGGUGCGGUGCCCUUUAUAGUGCCGGGGGACGGGAAAUAUCUUUAUCCUUUUGAUCUUGACCGUUGAUACGGGACACGUGUCGUCAAGCGAUAACAUGAAUUGAAAGGAGAUGGCGACGAGAGAGCAAAGGGGGGCCUCCACAUGCAUGUCAUGCGCUGAUUUUUGUCGGUUAGUGUGGAGGUUCGUGGGGGCCACUAAAGCACCACGUGCCGUGAUGCGGUAAUCUUCCUCAUCCAUCAUUAACCUAAUCCUGAUGGGCCUUCCGCGGAAAGUAAUGAGCUCGAACGGAGGCUUGCUCUGGAUUGGAUUGGGUUGCCAUAAAGCGUCCUUAUGGGCUUGGUUCUUUCAUUUGGGUUGGAUUUUAUUAAUGAUGGAGUAUUAGUCGGCUCGUUGUUUUUUUCUUUUUUUUUUUUAAAUAAAGCUUAAAGUUUGUCGUUCCUUCAAAAAUCUCUCAAAAUUUUUUCUACCUGCCUUUGCCAAUCUUUAUCUUUUAGCCUUGUUUUUGUGCUUAAAGACGUGCAAGAAUCCUUCAGGAGGAAAAAAAAAAAAAAACGUGCAAGAAACAAAUUCUGGAGGAUAAAUAUUGGAAAUGAUAGGACCUCUACUUUUCAGAUUAGAAAAUGCUAUGACAAAAAAGCUGAACUCCAUAAAUUGACUAGUACUAAAAUUUUGGAAGCCCGAGGAUAUUUAGCAAUUUUCUUUUCAUGACUCUUUUUGUGAUGGGAUGAUAAAGUUCUUUGAACAUGUACUUGGUGUCAAAAGCACUCCUUUUUUUUGGGUUGGGGAUUAAAUUUUGAUAUGAGGUAUUGAAAGAAAGAGAACGAUAUAUUGUUGGCUUUUUUUUUUUUUUUUUUUGUAACGGCACAUCUAAUUUAAACUAACCUACUUCAACUCCUACUUGACCCUACCCUAUAUUUGGAUUUUGAGAGUAUAAAAUGUUGGAUUCGUUUGGUUUCCAGGCAGCCUGCGCUACCACUGGCUAAAAGGCAUAAAAACAAUAGAGCAGAGAGGUGUGUGUUUUCCUGGGAGUGGUUGAUAUAUAUAUAUAUUUUUUGGUAAUCCGGAUCAUGCCCGAACCCGAGUCCUUUGGACCCGAGCCGGCACACCAAACCGAAGGGAAGCCGAUAGCCCCAUACAGCUUUCCCGGGCGAGUCAGGAUGUGCAGCGCAGCGGGCAUGAAUCGAACCCCGAUCAGUGAAGAAGCCAGCAACACAGCACCGACCCCUCAAUUGCUGCGCCAUAUGCCUUGGGGCGAGUGGUUGAUAUUAAAUUAACUCAAUUCAAACUGGCGUGGAUAUUUGAGGUUUUCAACUUUUCAUCUGUCUUGUUGUCAUGUUCAGUUUGAGUUUUGGUACCAUUGUGCUGCGGUUUUUAAUUUAAGACAAGACCAUUAAUGCAGAACAUCUACCCAGAAUAGAAUAAUACUCCCUCCGUCCCAUUUUGUUAGUCUUGGUUUUUUUUUCACACAGAUUAAGAAAGUGUAAUUAAUUUGGUUGAAAACGUAAAUUUAGAUUAAUAAUUUCCUAAAAUACCCUUAUGCUAAUCACAAAGAGUGCAAAUUAAUAUCAGUUACAGCUAAUGGUGCCAAUAAAUAUCAGUUACCGCCAAUAGUACACCCUGAUUGUUUCAAUUACCGCCAAUAGUGCCAAUAAAUAACAAAGAUAGACUUUUCAUUUAUCUAUGUAUUGGAAAAGCUCAAUGUAUUCAAUGUAGUGAGUUAGUAUUUAAUAACAAUGUAUUAAUAACAAGAUAUUUAAUAAGGGUAUUUUAGACAAUUUGAAAGAUUACUACAUUCCUUAAUGGGAAAGUGGACUACAAUUUGGGACAGACGAAAAAGAAAAACAAGACUAACAAAACGGGACGGAGGGAGUACUACUAUAGUACUUAUGCUCUAACCAAAUUAAAAGGAAAAAUUAACAAGCGAAUCACACAAGGAGGGAGACAAAUCGCAAAAAAAAAAAAAAUAAAGAAAAAGGUCCAAGAAAGCGUCUUUUCUUUGGACCGGCUCUGCUUCUGCACUUGUGUAAGAAUUAAAUAUAAGUGGCCGUCCAUGCUCGAUGGCGCUUGGAUUUUCAAUCAAUUGUUUAACUUCUUUAUAUAUAUAUAUAUAUAUAUAUAUAUAUUAUGUAAAAGAGUUGUGUAACUCAAGUAUGUUAUGACGCACUCAUGCCUGCUCCCAUUAAAUUUUUUUUUUUUAAUAAGUGGAAGUUGUGAAAUUUAUGCUAAUAAACAUAUCUCGAGGGCAUCAGAUUCUGAAGCAAUUUCGCUAUUGUUAUUUCAACGGUUAUCAUUUUUGCUUUGUUGAUGCUAAGAUUUAUAUGUGCGGCCUAUUAAAAACCCAUUUUUUGUUAUAUCAGUAAGGUGCUCAAAUUUCCGCCCUGUAUUGUUUGAGAAGGGAUUCCGAAUAUUUUCUCUUCUUGUUCAAUGAAUACAAAAAGAAAGCAAUAACCUUAACCAGCAAUAUAUAAACAUUAAAUGAACAACUAAUAAGCAUGGAGGAAGUUUUACGACUCUAAAGUCCAAACCGCCGUGAUACAACCGGAAAUGUAUCUUCUCAAGCUGCCGCCUGCCCGAUUCCCCCCCACCGGUCACUUUGAAUUUUGAGCCAUUUUCGUAUUUUGGACGAAUUGAACCCUUAACAAACAAUUCGGCCUCGAGGGUUCGGUUUGAGUUAAAAUUUUAACGGAUUCAAACAAGAAUUAAGAUUUGGUUAAUAUAUCAAAUUGAAUUUGAACUUGUACAUAGUUGGCCCGUUAAGGCUUGAACAAUUUUUAAUAUUUUUAUUUAAAAUAUUUAUUAAUAACUUAUGUAAAAUUAUGCGUUUAUUAUUUUACUACAUAGAUAUUAUAUAUAAUUUCAUAUUAAAAUUAAAAAAUUAAAUAGCAUUUUGAUAUCUUAAAUCGAAUUUGAGUCUAUCGAAUAUUAAAUUGAACUUAAAUUAGAAUAAAAUCUAAUUUUUUUAUUUUUUAUUUUACAAAUCUUGAUAACCAAACGAGUUUCACCAAGCAACUGACCUUUUUAUUAAAUAAUAACCCUUUAAAUUAAAUGGGAAUUUAAUGUGCCAAUUGGAUUCCAACUAUUUUGCUUCCUUAUCCUUAUCACAACUUAGGACGCAUUUAAUAAACCUAAAGUCUGAAAACUAAAAACUGAAAAUUAAAAUCUGAAUUCGUUAAGUUACUAAAUCAUUAAUAGUAAAUCUGACAUUUGAGUAUAUAUCACAUUAAAUUAAGUGAUAAGUAAAUAGUUUAUCACCGUUGUUUAGAAAAUUUAGUAUCACUUAAGUAAUUCAGAUAUAUUUUUUUUUUAUCAAAUGCAUUAAACUCGUUAAUUUAAAUGUUGAAUUGGGUUAUUAAAUAAGAGCUUAGUCAACUCCGAAUGCCUGUUGGGAACAUUUUACAACAUAAAUUCAUCAUAAUAGACCAAACCAGCCUAGGAGAUUCUUUUUUUCCUAUUUAAGGAAGCCAUGGAGAUUCUUGGUUGGUCCUUGGGCGUUGUCAUGCGCUUUUGCCAUCAACUAUGGUCGAAGUGAAGGUAACACAUUAACGAAGGAUCAGCAGCCAAUUGGCAAUUGUCAACACAACAAUCAAUUAGCAAGCAUGAAUCACUUUUUCAUAAAAAAAUUAUCUGCUUAGAAAAAAAAAAUCAAAUCUGGAUUUGUUUGAAAUAGUGAAAUAAUACCUGCUUCAAAAUACACAUUCGUAUGUUUUGUGCACUGUUCAUAAUUACCUUGGGGUACCAUUGGAGCACUAAUGAAUAAUCACAUGUGAAAAAAUUUUAGUUGAGAAAUGAAUCAACCUAGUCUUAAACCUUAAACAAGUACUAGCAUCUUGGACAUGACUCAUUUUUAGUGGAUUCUCUUCCAAUUCAUACAACCAUAGAAAAUGGAAAAAGAACCCAUGAGAAAAAAAGCCAAGUCCCUAACAUCAACCCGUUAAUUUUAAUUCAAUCUUUGAUUGAUGAGCACAAAUUUUGGCAUCUACUUAUUAAGAAACGAUAUCAAAAGUUGCUUUCGCUCAACUAAACAUUAGCUGAACCUUAAUUCUGUCCGAUUAAUACAAAAGCUAAACUUCAACAAAGUUCGAAGUUUGCUAACAACUAAAGCAAGAUCAAUUAUCACGACCAAAUGUGGAAAAAUUCUAUUCCGAUUCUCCUGAAUCGAAAGGAUUGGUGAAAGGAUUUUGUCUUGAAAGGAACAGUUGACGUUUUUGACGAAUGAGCAAAAAAUUCUGAAAAUGCCAUUCAAUCCAUUUUGUCGCCUAUAAAAUAUUUUAGCAUUUAACUGCUACUAAAUAAUUGAGUAGUUAAAUGCUAUAUUCCCCCGGUCCACGCUUUGCUGUUGGAUUGAUCAAAUGUUGAUGAUUACAGAGCUUAAUCCAAAGGGAGCCGGCAGCCAGCUAGCAGCCUCGAAAAAGCCGGCAUCCUUCCCUUUUCCCUCUUCUUGUUACAAUUUCCCCCCCUGCUCAUCAUGAAUGAGACUUGUGCUGACUGUUCAUGUCAAAUCCGUACUUUUCAGAUUUUCUUGAGUCCUGUUAAAAGUCGGUUUCUGUAUCAUAGAUUCUGAUGACUGAAAGACCAUUCAGAGACAAGAGAUAGAUCAUCUGAAUUCGGAAGCUCUUAUAGCUUCUUCAACAAGUUUCUUCAGUUGGUUUCUUGAAAUUCUGAAACACUCCAGCUCAGAGAUUGCUGCUUCUUUUUUCAGGCGAAAGAAGGCAAAAACAAGCAAGCACGACUCUGCCCAGAGAGUUAUCCUUCAUUCUGCAAUUUCAGUACUUUAUCUAUCUCUAGCAUCGUUUUUAUCGAGAGUUUCUCUCCAUACAUUGUACAGUAAUUAAAAGCCAGUUAUUUUUAAGCUUCUGGGAUAGUUGGCUUUUAGACGAUUGGUGGUAGUAGCACGUGGAAGAAUAGGUUAGGUUUCUACGUACCCAACAAAUUGCAAUUUUACCUGAUGUUAGAAAAACAUUAGGCAUAUCAUUUGAAAUUCAUUGGUUUGGUGAGUUUGGUUACGAAAUGGCUGGAAAUUAUAGGUUUGAGAUGGAUCAUACAGAUAUUGUGAGAUCAUUAAUCACAACCACUGGGAGUUUUAUUCAAGAUAGGUUGAUUGAUAAAGAACAGAGAGCCCUGCAAAAAGAACAUUGUGCUGAAAGACUAGCAGCUGAAGAUGGAAGCUCUGAUAAAGAUACCGAAGUUAGGUACUCUGAUCAAGCCGUCCUUGCAAAUCUUGACUGGGGAAUUGAGGCCCUCGAAGAGGCAAUUAGCACUUCCAACAUGGAGACUAAAAUGGCAAGAUUAGAUUAUGCUGAGAAAAUGUUACAAGUUUGUGCAAUGUUGAAUUCUAGUCAGAGAACUGCUGGGGUUCCCAAUUUCUAUUUGUCUGCAUGGGCACAUUUGAAUCUUUCCUACUUGUGGAAGUUGAGAAACAAUGUUCAGAAUUCGGUUCUUCAUAUCUUGGACAUGUUUAUCAUAGACCCUUUUUUCUCCAGGAUUGAUUUCGCUCCUGAGCUCUGGAAAUCAUUGUUUCUUCCGCACAUGAGUUCCAUUAUUGGAUGGUAUUCGGAGGAGAGGCACAGGAUAGUGAUGGAUGUGAUUCCUGAUUCUAAUGACUUGUCCUUUACGGUCGAUUUUGAUAACUACUUCAAUGAAUCACUAAUCACAUCUGUGAGGCCAGAUCAAGCAGAAAAAAUGCAAAAGCUAGAGCAUCUUUAUGGGCAAUCUUUGGAUGAGAAUACAAGGCUUUAUGCCAGAUAUUACAAGGAGUGCAUGAACUAUGACUCUGCCACAACCAAGAAGGUGAUCCCUAUGAUGCCAAUUGCAGAGCCACCAAUGACACCUUUGCAUGAGGUGAGCCAUAAAAUCCCUGAUUAUGUCAAAUUUGGUCCAAUCUUGCCCAAGAGUGCUGGGUUUUCUCCUGUUCUGAAAGCUCAAGGAGAGACAAGCGAAGCGUCUAGGUAAAUCUGAUUUUACAUUAAUUGCUCAGAGAAAAUAUCAUAUCAGUCGUCCUUAAUUUAUUGAAAGUUUCAUGGUAGUAACUUUAACUUUAUAGAGUACUUUUUUAAAAAAAAAAUUAUUCAUAUUUCUAUGGAACGGAAGUUGCUGAAUGUGGUUCCUCUUGACUUUAAGCAGAUUAAAUUUAGCUUCUGCAUCUGAUGAGAAUCUCGAUGACUAUGCCGGUUGGGAUCCAACUGUAAGAUUACCAAUUUUGUUUUAUAGUUAUAGUGAAACUUCAUUGCUCAUAGUGGCAGUACCUGUUUUGUUUAUUACCUUGUUCUCCGUUGUCAGCAAGGAAUUCCCGAGGAGAGUGAAGACGAACUCGAUUAUGAGCCUGAGGCAUGUGAAGAAUCUACAAACAGAGGUGUAAAAGCUGCACCUUCUUAUAGCAGCACUAUAAUCAAUAAUGAUAUAGAAGCGACUUUGAAAGUGCAGGCGACUAGAGUGAGGAGUCGAAACCAAACACCCAAUGACUUCUCCCCUGUGGAUUCUCCCAAAAAAAAGGAGUCACCUUCAAAACCAGAGACACAUGGUAGGAAGGAAUCCACAUCUUUAUUGCGUUUGGUGUCCACCCGAGCCAAGGAAAGGACAGCCUCUGCUUCUUUGGCUGAUUCUCCAUAUUCAUCUCGGCAUUCAAACAUUAGUUCAGUAGAUAAUGAUAAUGAACUGAUGGUAUGUUACCAAUCUUAAGUUACUUGGCAUUUGUCUUCAAUUUUUUUACUUUUAUGUACCCAAAACUUUACUUAUGAAGUCUUACUAAAGAAACUUAGAAACUCAGGAGCAGCAGAAAUCUGGAAGGAAAAGCAGCAGUCAUUCUCGAAGGAGCAGUCAAGUCCUGGAGAAAAGGUAAUGGGGAUGCAGAUGGACAAGUCACUUCUUUCCCUUACCCCCAUAAUUUGUGAGAACGAAGAUUGAAUUUGCCAUCUCUCAACUGCACGUUAAGCAUAGCUUCAAUUCUUUAAGAAACUACUUUCAGAAAUUCUCAUUCUGAACAUUAAAUGAAUGAUAUUCCUUUUACGUUGAACAAUGGCAGCUUCUCAAAUGAAAGUGAUGAAGGUAACAAUAGCAUCAUCUCUCUGCCAUUAUCCGACAAGCAGACUCCUCAAUCAAGGCCACCAAAAGAUUUUGUAUGCCCUAUAACAGGGCAAAUCUUCUAUGACCCAGUCACCCUUGAAACAGGACAGACGUAUGAAAGAAGAGCUAUCCAAGAGUGGAUAGACAGAGGAAACACAACUUGUCCCAUUACCCGGCAGCCUUUCUUGGCCACUGAACUGCCCAAAACAAAUUAUGUCCUAAAAAGACUAAUUACCUCUUGGAAAGAACAGCAUCCUGAUCUUGCUCAGGAGAUGUCCUAUGCUGAAACUCCAAGAAGUAACUUAAGCACGCCUUCGUUGAAUGAGAUGUCAUCAGAUUCCAAUCCUUCCGGGAUGACUAGUUAUCCAAUUCGAAGAUUAAUGGACAACGAUCCAGAACAUAAACCCCGAAGAUUUAUGCGAGCUGCAGUGUCAACAUCACCAACCAGCGUACUAUCUCAACCUGCAGUGGAAACAGUUAUAAAUGGACUUAGACCUUACAUUUCAUGUCUCUGUAAUUCAGAGGAUCUACAAGAAUGUGAAGCAGCAGUCUUGACAAUAGCCAGGAUAUGGAACGACUCAAAGGUUGAAUCAGGCAUUCAUUCCUAUUUGUCUUCACCAGCAAUAGUAAAUGGCUUUGUUGAGAUAUUGUCAGCAUCUUUAAACAGGGAAGUUCUCAGAACAACAAUUCACAUUCUCUCGCAGCUCAUAUAUGCAGAUGAUAGUAUUGGAGAAGUUCUUACCAGUGUGGACACUGAUUUUGAUUGCCUUGCUUCUCUAAUGAAAAAUGGUCUUGCUGAGGCAGCAAUACUUAUAUACCUUCUAAGACCGUCAUUCUCUCAGCUUUCUGCUCACAACCUUAUACCGUCUUUGACACAGCUCAUUUCCAGCAAGAGCGAAGAUCCCCUCGAUCUUCAAUUUGUUAUAGCGCCCAAGGAUGCGGCACUAGUUUUGCUUGAACAGAUCAUUACAGGAGGUGAUGAGACGACCAGGUUGACAAUCACUAUGGAUAUUAUAUCCGCUGGUUCAGUUCCUGCCUUGCUUAAGUGCCUAGAUAGGGUGGAUGGAAGACAUUCCAGUGUGACAAUACUGCUAUGCUGCAUUAGGGCAGAUAAGAGUUGCAGAAAUACAAUAGCCAGCAGAAUUGAGUUGUCUCCUGUGCUUGAGUUAUUUCAUGCUGGAAAUGAUAGUGUGAGAGGCACAUGCAUAGAAUUUUUCUCUGAGUUAGUGCAUUUGAGCAGGUAUAUCAGAACUUGCUCCCCUUUUCACAUUCCACGUCUAUCAUAUUGCUUUCAGUGAUCAUCAUAUUAUUCUCCUUCCUGAACAGACUUUGUGAAUAUUGUUAGACAGAUAUAUUGAUUAGGCUGCUUCUGCUCAUAGUUUCUCUGUUAUAUUUAUAUCAUAACAACUUUAGAUGCAUGUUCCUUUGUGGGGAAGUCGUGCUAUAGGCUUCCUUAGCAUAUGCUUGUUAAUCUUACUUUCGAAAAAGAGUACAUCACUUUGUCAAGUGCCUGAUAUGCUAAUGCAACAAUGCUGGUUUUAGCUCCGCCAACGCCCCAAAAUUCUAGAGGAAUAACAAAAGAUUGUAGCUCAUUUAUUUUUAUGCUACAGGAGAAAUUUGUGCAACCGGAUUCUGCAAAUAAUUAAAGAUGAAGGAGCAUUUAGUACCAUGCACACGCUUCUUGUUUAUCUACAAAUGGCUCCAAUGGAGCAGAAACCUGCAAUUGCUUCCCUUCUUCUUCAGUUGGAUCUCCUGGUUUGUCUUCUAAGGACUCUUGUUUAGUUGCUUUUAAAAAGCCACUGGUUUGUUUCUAAUCAAGAAAGCAAUACAAAUUGAGCUAACAAGGAUAUUCUUUUUAGGUUGAACCAAGGAAGAUGAGUAUCUAUAGAGAAGAGGCAAUUGAGGCAUUAAUAGAAGCACUUCGCAAGAAGGAAUUCCCAGCCUCUCAAAUUGCAGCUUUAGAUGCCUUAUUAUCUCUUCCAGGGCAUAUGAACACCUCGGGGAAGCCCUACACUGAAGCCUGGUUGCUUAAGCUUGCUGGAUUUGAUCAACCUUACAAUGCUUUGUUGAAAGGAGAAAAGCUACAAACUUAUGAAAGUGAAUUCAGCGAAACUGUGGUAUAUAAGUGUAACCUGCCUAACUGUCUCUGAUAAAUUCACAAAUUAUUCUAUUUCACAUGCAAACAUAAACAUGAAUUUGGAGAUGAAAUUCCAACUUUUAAUAACUAUCCGUAGGAAGAAGAAGAAAGAGCUGCUAGAUCUUGGGAAAAAAGAGUGGGAUUUGUUCUCUGCAACCAUGAAAAAGGAGCAAUUUUCAGAGCUUUGGAGGAGUGUAUCAAGAGCAAUUCACUAGAGAUAGCAAAAUCUUGUCUUGUCAUCAGCACAUGGCUCAUCCAUAUGCUUUACAAUUUUCCUGAUACUGGGGUAAGAGAUGCAGCUCGGAAGUAUUUGCUUGAUCAGUUUAUAACCAUACUACAAUCAUCAAAGAACCUUGAGGAGAAGAUUUUGGCAACUCUUGCUUUGGGAGGCUUUAUUACUGAUCCAGGUAUAAACGUAGUUUGCUGAUGAUGUACAGAUCAAAAGUUGACUACUUAUAGCCAAGUUGCUUAGGCCAAUCUUCAUUUUUCUCAAGGUGCACUUAAUGAACUGGGUAUAUAUGCCAAAAACAUGUACAAAACAUUGAGGAAGCUGAAGCGAAACUCUGUAGUGGUCAAUGAUUUGUUGAAAGCUUUGAUAAACUUGCCAUCAAUUGAUGCGGUGAGUAUGAAUUAUGCAUCCUUUUUUAUGGAGUAACUAAUCAAUUUUGUCUAACAAGAUGAAUUCCAGGCAGAGUUCUGGUGCUACGCUGAAGGUCCGGAGUUAGAUGCAUCCAUAAAUGGUGAAGUUCUUUCCAUUCUUCACACCAGAGGCCGACUUAUCAGCAGCCAUUCUGAUGGAACCAUGAAAGUAUGAGCCCAACAUUCUUUCAGUUUAUCGGCUCCCUCAUAAUGUGAUUAUUGUUUUCACACUCAUCAACUUACAUCUGUUUUGGUGGGAAGUCCCAUGUGAUUAUUGUUUUUACACUCAUCAACUUACAUCCGUUUUGUUGGGAAGUCCUAGAAGGAUGUUUUAAAAGAGCAUUUUCUCGUUUCUAAUAAUUUUUAUUCAUUCAGCUGUGGGAUAUCGGAAAGAAGAUUCCAAGAUUAAUUCAAGAAGUUCGGGAGCACAGUAAAGCGGUUACAUGUCUCUGCCUUUCAUCAUCUGGUACCAAACUGUUCAGUGGCUCCUUGGACAAGACAAUCCGGGUAAGAGAUCAGUCCUCUGUAUGUACUUGAAAGGUGAAACAAAAGCUAAAUUGAACUCAAUAACACUUCUGUUGUCAGUUUAGAUUGGGAACUACAUGGCAAGCAAAAUUGAGUGUAGUUCACAGCGAAUUGAUUGUUAGCCUCCAGAAACCACUAUCAUAUACCUACUCACCUACCUAAGAGCAUUACCAUAAAUUGCAAUGGAGCCCUGUGUAUGAGCUCUUCAGUUUGUUAUGAACUUAGUGUCUUUCUUUGCUAAUUCCUGUGACAAAUGCGCCUGAACUAGUUAUUUGAAUAAUCCAGGCAUUCAUUGCCUUGGUAUAGCCAAAACAAUCUAAAUGAGUCUCGUAUCCAGGUCUGGGCAAUCAAGCAGGCAGAAAUUCACUGUGUUCAAAUGCAUGAUGUUAAGGAGGCAGUGCUGGAGUUGUAUGCCAAUAGCAACUUCGCCUGCUUUUCGUCUCAAGGAACUGGAGUAAAGGUCAGUGCAGCAAACUUUUUAAUUCAUCUAAACAUGUCACAAAGCACACAGCUAACCCCUGCUGAACAUCAAGUUUUUGCAGGUUUAUGAUUGGUCGGGAAUUCCUAGGCAUGUUAAUUUUAGCAAAAAUGUGAAAUGUAUCUCCUUGUUGGGCGAUAAGAUCUAUUGUGGCUGUACCAGUUACAGCAUACAGGUACAGUUCUUUGAAUGACCUCCAUAAUUGUCCUUUUGACCUAGUCAUGCAGUUUUUGGAGAGAUAAACAGCUCCAGCUCCAGCAUAGCCAGCAAUAAACACAGGUAGCAUAAAACUGGUGUUUUUCUAGUACUAAAUUCAUAAUUCACUUGACAGGAGGUGGAUUUAGGAACUCUUACAUCAACCAUAUUCUACACUGGUACAAGGAAAUUGCUAGGGAAACAAACAAUAUUCUCCUUGGAAGUCAACAGCGGCGGUCUUCUUAUUGCUGGCGGUUCCUCGGUUGAUGGAAUAGCAGGAAAGGUAAACCAUCUACGUUUUUGUAUCUGACAUGAACGAGAAAACAUGAAAUUCUUGACUUGCCUAUCAUUUUUGACCCAAAAUUUGCGUAUGAAGGUGUUCUCUCUCCCGAGCAAGGCCGUCCUAGGAACGCUGUCCACUGGUUUGGACAUACAGAAGAUAACAGCCAACAAUGACUUCAUAUUUACAGCUUCAAAAUGUGGAAUAAUAGAAGUAUGGCUGAAAGAAAGAGUAACAAAGAUUGGUUGCAUCAGAAUGUCCGGUGGGAAUAACACGAAAUUGUUAUCAUUAGCUUCCGAUAUGGAUGGACAAAUGCUUUUUGGUGGUUCCUCCGAUGGCAAAAUCCAGGUCAGCCACAGACUUCUUGAUUAUCUUGGACGUCAAAUGUCGUUCAUUUUUAAGACUGGAUCUCACUAAUUGCCCUUGCAUUGCAGAUUUGGACGCUAAAUUGAAUGUUGAAACACGCAGAGUUUUCCUGUAUAAACUUAGCAAUGGUUCGCCAAUUGAUUGCCGCCUCAUGCUGGUUGUAGCAUCGCUCAGUUUGCCUGCCCUCUCCGAUGCACAAUUUUGCAGUGAACCAGUUCUAACUAUAAUCUUAAAUUCAUUUUAGUAUGUUAAUCUUUUCUGAGCGGAGUUGCAGCUCUUUUUCUCUGCAUUUGUCACCAUUGAUUCUCCUAGUACUAAAUUAUGUGGGAAAGGUUUCAGUUGAAACAGAUGCAUCAAGCACUGACAAUUUCACCAGCUUGCAAAUUCGAGGUCCUCGUCCUUGCAUUUCUCCCUCUUCUUCGAUUUGUAUGGCAAACAAAUCCGAAUCUUUCAGUAAAAACUUAAUCAUACAACACUUUUUAUCAGCGUCAUUGGAAGCCUCUGUCAAACCACGAAAAUAGCAAAUGAGAAUCUUUAUACGAUGUUAUGUCUCCUUCGCAGAUGUUCAGGAAAGUAUUAAAACAACCAACCUGAAUUCAACCGAAGGAAUGUAGUGAUGUUGGGAGCUGCAUUCAUCCCUAAGGCAUAUAGAAUAUAUGCAGCCAAAGAGCCAAACUCCAGCCCCGUAACACAUUUGACCCCUAAACUCAAUUUAUCUAAAUGCGUUUCGAUCUUAAUCUCAACCAGGUUUCCCAUUCAAUUAUUUGCAACUUACCAGCCAGUACCAUGUUUUAACCUGUUAUUAUUUUUAUUUUUUAUUUUAUUUGGAAAAAAAAAAACCAAAAGAGUGAUCUGUAAACCCCACAUCAGCACUCAGAAUGAAAAGGACUAGAUAGAUAAAAAUCUGGGAAAUAUCAAAGAUCUUUCGAUCUCAAUCCAAAACUAAUCCUCAUGGUGCCAACCUAGAGUUUCCAGUACUUGGUGAAAAUUUCAAAACUUGUUAGUUCUCUUAUUAAGGAGAUCCUCGUUAGCUUCUGUUCCAGGCUCCAACGUAGCCUAUCAGCCCAGUAAUGAUCAUCAAAAAAGAGAAAAAAAAAUAGAUAUAAUCAAAUCAAAAUAAAAGAAAAGGUUGAAAAAUAGUAUGAAGAUGGGUGAUUGGAAAAGCAAGCAUUCAGAAUGAGUAGGAGGUUUAGUAUUCCUUUUCAUGAAUUUAGUCGGAAUAAUUAGUAUAAAUUCAUCAUCAUUAUGCUUGCCCCAAUCGGAAGAACAAACUACUGCUAGACCAUUAAAUAAGAGGCAAAAACAGCAAAUCUCUUUUUUUGAACGAAAAGAGAAAGCUAGACAUUUUGGACAGAAAAAGCAACAGAGAGCAUCAGAAAAAUUGGAUUAUUGCAUCAACAAAGACACCUGAAAGGGUGCCUCAGACGACCGUCGUGAGAAUUUUAAUCCAAUAUUCAUCCUUUGGCGCCCCCCAGAAAUUUCAAUUACCAGCAUGAACAACAUACAUGUAAAGUAGGCUAUCCUAUGGGGAAGAGAACUAUUAGACAAUUGAGAAGACAGAAGUAAUAAAGAGAAUAUCAACCCAACCAUCGAAUCAGACCUUUGAGAAAUUAGCUAUGAAAGAAGAUCCUCAAUCCGACUGUUUCAUGCAGGUACGCAUCUGCGCAAUUUAAAGUGAUGGGCGAUGUGUUAUUAGGGUUUCCUUCAAGCUGUUACAAUUACCAUCUUACCCUCAUCCAACCCACAACCUUGCAUUAUUUUUUAGGGGUGAUUCUUUUCGGUUUUUCCCAUUCAAAAAAGAAAAAAAAAAAGGAUUCAAGCUCAAGAACAUUAUUUGAGAAAAAAAAAAUUUCCAAGCAAUUUCAAGCAAACAUAUAUAUGUACACAUUCUAAUACAUGUACUUAUUUGAUAAACUUGUCCUUUCGUAAGAAAUUGCUACAAUUAUUUUGUCUUUUUGCUUCUGGUUUGGGCUGCAAUGUAUGUGAAUUUUUAUUUUAUUUUAUUUUAUUUUUGUAGUUUUGGAGAUUUUUCCUUGCACAUUGUUCAUCCAUUAUUUUACCUUAUAUUUAUUAAAUUUCAAGAAAGGUAUAAUUUUCCUACAAAAACUUAUUAAAAAAUACAAUUCAAAUGAAAUAAUUCUUGUCUUGUAAUAAUUCAACCAAAAAAAAGUGAGAUAAUAUGUUUAACAAUAAAUCUUAUAUACAUUGACAGUGUAUACACUAUCACCGUUAGAUUCAUGAUAUGUGUGCAAAAGUUGAAUUUCAUAGUUGUUAUUCAUCAAAUGCUGAUAGUGUAUACACUGUCAGUGUAGGAAAGAUUAAUCUUAUGUUGAAUAAAUCUUAUAUACACUGACAGUGCAUACGCUAUUACCUUUAGAUUCAUGACAUGCAUGUAAAAAUUGAAUUUUAGACAAAAAUGAACUCUAAUAUUAAGAUACUGGCACAUGGAGCUUACUAAAGCCUCGGCACAUAGGUCUCAAGCUCACCUCAUAAUAUGUAAAUUGAUUUUGAGUUGAAGAAUGAUCGGAUUAAAUUGAACAAAUAUACAAUUUGUAAAAUGGUCUAGAAAGUAAAAUCUUAUCUAUACAAUAAUAAAGAGUCUCUAGAGUUAAUUUGGUGUUAAAUUUAUCCAUUAACUUUUAGUUAACUUAAUCUAUUAAUCUUUAAUUACUAAGAUAAUUAUCAAAAUAACUACUAAUUUAUUAAACAAAAUUUCAUAAAAAUUAAUUUAUUCUUAAAUUACACACAUGUGGGUGCGCUUUUAGCGCUAGUUGGAAAAACACUUGUAACAAUAGUAUAAUGUUGAGUUAAUUUUAGACUGUGAACAAACCAGCUUACCCUUGCUGGCUUGCUCAAACAACACAAAAGCAAAAAAAAAAAAAAAAAAAUUGAGCCCAACCGCCCAACUUAGUGAAAAGUAAAGUAAAACAGGAGAAAGAGAGAGUUCGUAAAAAAGAGCAGAUUUGGACUACCAUUAUUCUGGAAUCGGUCGCCGGAGUUGGACACCCAGUCGUGGCCUGAACCAUCGGAGGUGGUUGGACAGGGCAAUCAUGGUGAGCGAUAGGAUCCCUCCUCUUAUAUCCACUCAGCUCACUCACCUCCUUGCUCACUGCCCCAUCUCCAUCAAGGUAAAACGUUUAAUCCAUUGAUUGUGUGUGAUACCUCGAAAGCAUGGAAAAAUUGUACUACUACAUAAAUGUCUAAUCUUCAGGUGGAGCAGAUGUGGUCUGGAUGCAUGAACUCUAGCCUCCUCGAUCACUUUACCUUAGUCAUCCCUUUUUGCCUUGAAUACGUCAGAUGUUAGUAUUCUGUGAUUUUUUUUUCUGAUUCUACUGAAAUUUUCCUUUGGUUUUCUUUCAAUUUUGACGCUUUGGUUUCUAUUAGGGGAUAUAAUAUAUAAUGCGAUUUAUCCGCUGGCCAAGCCCGAUGUGAUUUUCGGACCUGAAGAUGAGCAUUUUAGGCCAUAUCGUGGUACCAUUGAUUCCAAAAAUGCUCUCACUGAUUGGAAUAGUAAAGACCCCACUCGACUUUUGACUCUCGUUCUGGAGCUUAGGUUCGGGAAUUUUUGUUUUUUAACUUUUGCUAUUAGCUAAGAUUGUUAGGUUUGUUGAAGAAGUUUUUGCCUAGUUGUUUGGUCUGCUGAGUACUUAUUGGUUUGUUUUUUUAAGGGAUUUAUAUAGGGAUUACCAAAAGAAACGCGUUGCAGAGGUCGAUGAUGAAAGAUUGAAGUUUGAAAUCAGCACAAUGUUAUCAAGAGAGGUGGGUUUUGAUUAAUUUGCUUAUCAAGUUGUGGAAAGAGAUGCUGGUUCUGUAUUUUACUGGGUAUUUUGGUUCCAUUUUAUGUUUAAGGACCUAUGAGAGGGUGGAAGAAGGUGCUGUAGCUCUUAGUAGGAUAGGAGUAUACUGUUUUCCUGAAUUUCAGUGUAUUCUUUGGUUGGUGAUAGUUAUUUCCAGUGGUGGUCUCUUGGAGGACAAUAGUUGUUUGCACUUCUGUGGAUAUCUUACUAGAGUUCAUACUGAACUUACGCCUUGCUUAGACUCUUGUUAGAUAAUUAAUGUUCAGCUGAUUGGAACAAUACGAGUAAUGUUAUGUAGAAUGGAGGACUCUUGCUACAGGUGCUUUCAGCUUGCACAUAAAUUUUGGUUGGAAGAAGUUUAUAACUAGUGAGACAUUUACCUCUCAGCGGCCCUGUACUUCUUGCCAUUAUAGUGUAAACCAUCUCUUAGUCCUACUGUGGCUGAUCAUGCUCAUGGACUAUUUGCUGAUCACUGCCUUUGUUAACUACUGUCUCAACAGCUAGUGGAUCAGAAGCAAACCCAUGCUUUAAUAGAUCUCUCCCUUUGCUCUUCAGCCUAUUAAAUAGUAUUAGGCAGUUCUUUCUGUUGUCCUCUCCCGAGGAAGGGUUGUUUUGUGGUACUUGCCAGUCUGCUGUUGGAAACAGGUCAUCCUGUUACACUUUAAUAUCUCAGGUAGUUCUAGACAUUAGACUUUCUGUUUUUUCCCUUGAAAAUCUUUUCCUAAACUCCCAAACGUAAGGAAACAACGACUUUCUGUUGUUCAUCUAAUCACUUGGGACGAUUGAAUUGUGGUUUGUUGGGACGAUUGAAUUGUGGUUUGUUGACUGUAUCUUACAGAGAGCUUCAUCUUUUUGUUGCAGGGAAUUGAAAUGUUGAUGAGUUCUGGUCUUGACAAGGUAACUAAAAGCUGAGGGGAAUUGUUGAUAGUUCUCAUUUUUUAACGAGUAUUUCUCCUGAUAAUUAGGAUUAUUGCAGCCUGAAGAGGUUAAAUUUGCUGUACCUUUAUUGGACAUGGAUUUAAAUAAAAUGGUUUUGGGUUCCACCUGGCGACAUCAGCAGAAGAUUUACUUGCAGGCAAGUUUGUGAUAAUAUGGCUCUGCAAACAUACUUGUCCAUCCAUGCCAUUAUUUUCUAAUAUGAGCACUAGAAAUCAUCACAUCACUUAAAGACGGUAGUUCCCCCUCCACCCAAAGAAAAAAUGAAAGGAAUAGUAUGCAUUAUUCAAGUACGAAUAGAAGAAUUAAACAGUGCAUAAUUCUUAGACACUGCUUGAUACUUCUACUAAUACUUAAUAUUCAAGUAGAGAGAUAUAUAGACUUGGUUUGACUCUCUCUCUCUCCUCCUCCUCCUCCUCCUCCUUUUGAUUGAUUGAUUGAUUUAUUUAUUUUUGUGAAUUUUGUCAUGGCUGCGAGCAAAAAUUAUCUGGUUAAAUGCCUAACCUCAGUUGUGCCGCUUCCUUCUUGCUGAAUUUAGUUUGGCUCACCCUGCAUUGACACCUGCAGGUUAUCUAUCCUGUAGGUAGAAAAUAUUCAACCACACCAUCAGCACCGAGACUGAAGUUAGUUUCUUCUCCAGAGCUGAAAUCUUGGUUUUCUGUUGAAGAGUCGAGGCUGCCUGCAUGGUUGGAUGGGAUGUACGUUAUCAAUCAAUAUUAUUUUGUUUUCACAAAGCUUUUUGUUGUGUCAAUUCUUUUUCCUUCUCUUUUCCAUUUUCAGAUAUUAUCAAAACCUUAGACUUACUUUGUUGUCUAAAAUACUAUAUUAUGGCAAUAGGUGCAUGGCUGAAUAUCUGCCCACUUUAGAAGAGAUGCUUGAAAAUCAGGUUACCUGCUUGUAACAUGCUAGCUUUCCAUGGACCAUCUUUUACCUGGUCACCUUUAAUGCUAAUAUUUGAUUUUGAUUGGUACGAUGCUACAGAUUAGAGAGGCCGUAGCUUUAGUUGAAGUUAGAAGAAAGUUUAUUACUGCAUUAGCUCCUCAUUUUGGACGGCCCAUUGAAGCUGACCCAGUGAGCACUUUUUGCAUUGGGGUAAUGCAAUUUUUGUUUGUUAGCUUCUUGCAUUAACCCUAAACAUCUCUUUUCUUUAUAUUCCAGGUGUUUUGCAGGAAGGUGUCAUUUCUAGCUUCCUCUGGGACGUUUGCUUUUCUGGUAGGAUGAUGUUCUAUAGUUAUAUGUGCUUCUUAGUAACUAUUGGGAUCUUACAGAAGUUAAAACACUGAAGUAUGUGUGAAUUUGAAAGAUCAACAGUUAUAACUGAAACAAAUAGUGCUAGAAUAUGACAUGGAACGGAAUGAGCAAUAGAUCGGCCUCCAUUCUCCUGUGGAUAAGCAGACGAAAGCAUUUCUGGAUAUCUUACGGGCCUCUUUUGUCAUGUAGGUUCACAUUUCCAUCCCACUUCAGUUCCCAAAGCAACAACCAGUUUUGGUGCUUCAAAGCUCUCAGGUACUGACCAAUUAUUUUUAAUGAGAGAAUGACCAUUAUCGGGCAGUUUUGCAUUCCGUGGAACUUGCAUUUAUUCAAAAAAUCUAUGGCAUAUGGUACUGGGGAUUAAAGUGUGGUUUGUGAUAAAGUACAAACCAACUGACGUAGCUGCUUACCCUGCUCUUUUCUUUCUCUGCAUUGGCUAUAUAUCAAGUUCAAAAUUUAAAUGUGUCUGAUGUAUCUCCAUGUUUGUCUUUGCGCAGCAUUUUAACUCUCAUAAUGUGCCCAUAAAAUCACCUAUCAUGAACGAUUACCCAUGGAGUCCGAGGUGGGAAACGUCAGUAAUGGCUGAGCGGAUAUUGUAAGUUACUUUUUCCUUGAUACUAAAACAUAGUACUGAAAGUUUUUGCUUUUUCUGAACGAUCUCACAAGUUGAUUGAAAUGGUGGCCCGUGAAGAGGUGCUAAUCUCACAAGUUACUUUUUCAGUGACUUUCUGGUGGAAGAAUGUCUGAACUUCAAGAGGUAUUGCAAUGAAACCAUGCUUCAACAGCGUUAGUGCCAUUUCUUCAAGCACUCUUGACUAGGAUUCUGUAAAAUCUGUCUUAGCCUUUUUUCCGCUUUGGUUUAUGCUUUCCUGGGGUCGUACAUUUCAUUUUGUCAUCUCUCAAUGUAGUUAUUGAUCGUUGCAGCUCCGUGAUUUGUUUUUUGUGUAUAAAGCGGGAGAGAGCGAGGGAGGAGAGAAAUGGGGUCAGUGCGGAUUGAAUUGAUGCAUUUGGUACAGUAUUUAUAGAAUUCGUCUCUCCUCAUUUGUAUCAAUUCAUUGUUGCCGCUGAUCAAACUUACAAUCGCUUCAUUUGUACGCCCUCGUGAGCAUUGACAUGUCUGUCCUGUCGUGGAUGCAACUAGGGCUGCAAACGAGUCGAGUUUUCAGCUAAUCGAGCCGAGCCUCGACUAAAUUUUACCAGGCUCGAGCUCGAGCUCGACGAGCUGGCAAUUUUCGAGCUCGAGCUCGAAAAAAAUAAAAAAAAAUUAUUUUAUUUUUAAAAAAAUAAAAAACUAAUAUUUUUUUCUGAAUAAAUAAUAAAAUAUUAAGGAUAUAUACGUAAUUUCACUAUGAAAAUAAAAAAUUAAAAUAUAUUUAUAUAUAAUAUAUGUAAUUUUAUUAUUAAAUAAAAAUAAAAAAAAUAUAUAAAUAUAUAUACUCAAACUCGCGAGCCGGCUCGCGAGCUAACGAGCUUAAUAUUCUGAGCUCGAGUUUGACUCGAGCUGGCUCGAGCUCGACCCGCGAACGGCUCGAUUCGUUUGCAGCUCUAGAUGCAACGACUGACUCGAUUUCACAGCGGUGACCGUGCAGGUGCAUUGAAAAAAAAAAACAAAUUUUUUUCACUCAUUCUGGUUAAUGCGGUAAAUUUAAGUGGAGAAAACAAUUAGGCAGAACACCAUAUUUGAAAUAUUUUUUGAAUUUAACAAUAAUAUUUUUCUAGAAAUGUGCCUUAGAGUUGACCGCCCUAGAAAGGUUAGUUGUCUAAGAAAAUCGUAGAUAAAUGGUCCGUCCAACUGAUAAAAUGUAUUUAUUUAUUUUGGUCGAAAGAUGUUUAUUUGGGUAGUAUAAUUUGAGAAAAAAAUUGUGUAAAUAGUUUACAUUUUAAAUAUAAUUUUCAAUUACAUUUUUAGUUUACAUGCAUCGCAUUAUAAAAGUAUUAUAGUAUUAUUUUAAAUAAUUUUUCAAACAAAUUUAUAUCCAACCAACGUAUUUAAUUGGAUGAAUAAAAUGUAUGGAAUUGUAAUAGUGAUUUAUCAAUUCUGGAAACAUUUUCCGGAAAGUGAUUACUCCAUUUGUAAACAAAGUGAAAAUUUUCAAGAAUAACAAAGUAGCAAUUAAUACUAGUAGCAACAUGAUAAGUACUCCACAAACAACAUAAUUAGCGUAAUAACCAAAGUUAUAAGCAGAGGCGCAUGCAUGGCUUAGCUGCUGCUGGUGCUGGCCCGAAAUAAAAUGUGUAGCCCAAUUAAUAGGAGCAGCAAUGAAUUACCUGAUCUGAUGAAUGAGGGGGCUGGGGGAGACCACGUGGGGCCCUCCCCGGACCUUGUGUGUGACUGUGUGUAGCGGUUAUGCUGUCUGUAUUCCCGCUGUCACACAUGACGAUGAUCGUGACCCUCCCCCUUCCGUCCUGCUCCUCUCACCCCAUCUACCACAACCAUUCCAUUUUUUUUUUUUUACCGAUUAUGUUUGUUUUUCUCACCUCGCCCAAUUUUAACACUAUGAUAUUUUUAUUCUACGUACUGGAGCGGUAGUAGUGUUUUAUCACCAUUAGCAACACACAAUUAUAUAUUCACCAUUGCUGAUUCAUUAACCCCUCCCCCCCUUCUGUCGGUCUCUCUCCUCUUGGCUCCAUCUCCCUCUUCCCCCAUCCCAACAUCAUACUAUUAUAUAAAUUUCUAUUCUACUACUACUGCUGCUACAAAUAUCUUUCCCCCCUCGUCUUCAUCCUCCUCGUCCCAGGAGAAAAAGGGAAAAAAAAGAAAAAACUUCUCCCUCCUCCUACUACAUUUUCAAUUUUCUCCCAUCCAAAAUAAAGAAAAAAAAAUGAGGGAAAUCUUGCACAUUCAAGGAGGUCAAUGCGGGAAUCAAAUUGGUUCCAAAUUCUGGGAAGUAAUCUGCGACGAACACGGGGUUGAUCCAACCGGCCGUUACAGGGGAGAUGGCUCCAAUGAUCUUCAACUGGAACGCAUCAAUGUCUAUUUCAAUGAGGCUUCCGGUGGCCGUUAUGUUCCUCGGGCUGUCCUCAUGGAUCUCGAGCCCGGCACCAUGGACAGCAUCAGAUCCGGCCCUUACGGCCAGAUCUUCAGGCCCGACAACUUCGUCUUUGGUCAGUCUGGUGCCGGUAAUAACUGGGCUAAAGGACAUUACACUGAGGGUGCUGAGUUGAUCGAUGCCGUUCUCGACGUCGUGCGUAAAGAAGCCGAAAAUUGUGACUGCUUGCAAGGUUUCUUUCUCCCACCCUUCUUUCAUUCAUUUUUCUUUUUUUUUGAUUUCUUUUCACCUCUUCUGCUCAUUUUGUCAAAUGGCAAUCGAGGUGUUUGGUGUUCUCUACGUGAUUCUCUCCCUCUCUCUCUUUCUCAAAUAUUUCUGGGUAGGCUUGAUUGACAAGCUGUAUUAACAUUAACUUACGCGGUGUUCUUAUUUUGCUGCUUUGAAUCUACAGAAAAUGAUUGCGUGGUUGUGAUGUUUUCUGAUAUGGUAUUUGUUUGAUGAUAGAGUCUGUCAUCGAUAGGACGAAUUGAUGGUGUAGAGUAUACGUUUUAUGUCGUGUGCGCACCUCUGACUUUUGGAUGUAAACAAAUUUAGUUGCAUCGUACACUUUAAAUGUUCUAGGAAAAGGAUCAGCCAACAGUCCUCGCGUUUUUGAAUGGGCUGGUGGAAUAUCUGAGGUAUUUCUGGAUCUGUAGGAUCGCCUUUUUCUGGGAGAUAAAGUAGGUGCGAAAAGGCGCCAAAGUUGUUAGCUAUCUUUGGAGAUGAGAUUUUGUAGUACUACGUUUUGUUGCUGUCCUAUCUACCAGUGAAGAGAAGUGGGCUCAGUCCAGUUGUAAAUUAAAGAUUUUUUUUUUGAAUGGUGCCCUUGGAGGUGGGGGAGAUGCUCAAAAGUUUACUCAUCCUUGUCAUGAUCUGGGGUUUAAAAUUUCUUCUGCUAGCAAUAAUGCUAAUUUAAAGUAUUUAACUUGUGUUCUUUUGUCUUGGAUCGGGUUCUAAGGAGAGAUUUUGCAUAAUUUCUUGUCGUUUGACCAUUUUCCACGGUAUUUUUAUUUUGCCACUUGCUAUUGUACUCUAUUGGAGGGGCCCACUUUUUGUCUUAACUGGGGCUGCUUGCAAGUCAUUAGGACAAAUAUCUCCAUGCUACAAUUAGUUAUUCCAUUGUUCAAACUUGACCUUCUGGUUUCAUUUAUAAUUGCAAUUCCUUCAGAAGUACUAUGGAUCGACCGACGCUUUCUGCCAUAAAUUCCCUAACCGUACAAAGCAGAUGCCUUGACAAGAGAUUUUACCAAGUUUGUAUAGCAAUGGUAGUCAUCCUGGAGCCAUUUCAAUAUUCUACCCUAGAUCUACAGGAUUUUUGCCUGAGGUCUGAUAGUUUUUUGUCAACUUAACUCGAAUGAAAGUUCAGUUCUAGGUUUAGCUGUCUUUACAGAAUCAUGAACAAAAGGAAGGUGCUUCAUGUGGGGGAAAAAAAGGUCUUACCGGCUAAUCUUUUAAAAAUAUUGUUGCUGUCUGACUGAUAUACUUGCUGGAUACCGUAAUUGAAUGGCUGAGAUUGAGGUAAUAUUCGAUGCAUUAGUGCCCUUUCGGCUCGAGGGAUUACAUUUUUGUGAUCGACCAAGAUGGGAGGGUGGGGGGACUAUUUUGCCCUCACCAAUUGUCAUGGAACUUGUGAUAUGGAUGGGCUUUGGUUAACAGUUUCCCUUGUUUUCUGUUGGGGGCCAGGAUUUCAAGUGUGUCACUCGCUUGGAGGAGGCACUGGCUCUGGAAUGGGAACCCUAUUGAUUUCCAAGAUAAGAGAAGAAUAUCCAGACAGAAUGAUGCUCACUUUCUCAGUUUUCCCCUCACCAAAGGUUUCUGACACUGUUGUAGAACCCUAUAAUGCCACCCUCUCAGUGCAUCAGUUGGUGGAGAAUGCAGAUGAAUGCAUGGUCCUUGACAAUGAAGCACUUUAUGACAUUUGUUUCAGGACCUUGAAGCUUAGCACUCCAAGCUGUAAGUGAAUCGUUCAUUGCUGGCAUUAACAGUUUAAUAAUUAAUUCCUUUCUCUGCUGCAUAGGCCAAAGCUUUGCUACUAAGUGAAUGAUAAGGUCGUUUCUUGUUUGCUUGUAGUUGGUGAUUUGAACCAUUUGAUUUCGGCAACUAUGAGUGGGGUUACCUGCUGCUUGAGAUUCCCAGGUCAGCUCAACUCAGACCUGCGGAAGCUGGCUGUGAACCUGAUUCCUUUCCCUCGUCUUCACUUUUUCAUGGUGGGAUUUGCGCCACUUACUUCCCGUGGAUCGCAGCAAUACAUAUCUCUCACUGUGCCAGAGCUCACUCAGCAAAUGUGGGACGCCAAGAACAUGAUGUGUGCAGCUGAUCCGCGACAUGGGCGCUACCUCACUGCAUCCGCAAUGUUCAGAGGGAAGAUGAGCACCAAAGAGGUGGAUGAACAGAUGAUCAAUGUGCAGAACAAGAAUUCAUCGUACUUUGUAGAGUGGAUCCCAAAUAAUGUCAAGUCAAGUGUUUGUGAUAUUCCUCCUACUGGGUUAAAGAUGGCAUCUACUUUUGUCGGAAAUUCUACCUCAAUCCAAGAGAUGUUCAGGAGAGUGAGCGAGCAGUUCACUGCCAUGUUCAGGCGCAAAGCCUUCUUGCACUGGUACACUGGAGAAGGAAUGGAUGAAAUGGAAUUCACAGAAGCUGAGAGCAACAUGAAUGAUUUGGUGGCAGAAUAUCAGCAGUACCAGGAUGCCACUGCAGAGGACGAGGAAGAGUAUGACGAUGGUGCCGACGAGGCGUAUGAAAACUAAGAGCAGAUGAGAUCAUAUCACGAGAGAGUGCGAAAGGCCUUGUUUAUCUGCUGCUGUUGAGUGGACGAUGCUUGCUUCUGUCUGCAUGUGUUUUUUUCCAUUUUCCUGAAUCUCUUCAGGAUAUGUAUUUGUCGUUAUUUUUUUUUUAGUUUCCGUUGUUUUGAUUGAAGAACCUUUUCGUCGCUUGUCAUAUUUGCAUAUAAUUUGCGUCGUUCAGUAUGCCCAUUAAGUUACAAAUCCAGCCGGUGGAAAUGAGUGAAAUAUUGCAGAGAGAGAUAUUUGGUGUGAAUAACGUUAAAUGGUCCAGGAAUCAGUACUACCACCACUUAUUGUUUUCUGUGAAAUUCGAGAAUGUAGCCUUGGCAGGCAAUGAAUGAAAUCUCUGGCGUCAUUAUUGUUUUCACAGGGAAGACUUUUGAACCAUUAUAUAUAUAGAUUCAUUAAUGGGUGUCUGCUGCUGAAGGUAGCUCGACAGGCAAUGAUUAUAUGAAAGACCAUAAUAAUUAUCUUCUGCAAAAAUGAAUGAUUUAACCUGGCCGAUUAGCAGAUUGUUUAACAACCACAACCACAACCACGCCCCACUUCACACCCUUGCACGACACAAGUCUCAAUUUGUUUAUUCUCUCGAUUAUAAUACUGCAAAAUUGUUUUAAGGAAACCAACUGAAAAAAAAAAGCUGUCAAAUUAAUUUAAUUUAAUACGGCGUAAAAAAGGAUAUUGAGACGAAAUUAUUCGCCGGAAAUGUGGAACUAUACUGAAAACAAACAGGAAGGGUGAAGGUGGUGGUGGUGAUGCAUCAGAGUCAUGGAAGUAGUAGGAGGAAUAAACAUUGCUUGGCUUCGGAUAUCCCCAGCAACAAGCUUCUCAUUAUCCCAGAUAAUUAAUUAUCGUCAUGUGCAUCACCCUCUUUCACUAGCUAUUAAAUAAAACAUAGACUGAAAAAAAAAAAGAAAAAGAAACACACUACAGUCUUCUGCAACCUGGCAAUAAAAUAACUCAUGAAUUAGCGGGGGUAUCGGGGCAAGGAAGAGAAGGAGGAGGAGGCACAAAGAAGAGAAUUGAGAGAGACGGAUAGAGUUUCGGCACUCCUCCCCAAUGAAAGUAGUCGAAGAUUCUUUCUUAUAUACACGUGCCGAGCGACUGCCAAACCCUAGGUGGAGUUGGUGGUUUUUCAUUUUGAACGAAAGAUACCCACUUUGGGCUACAUGUAAAAUUUUUAGUUAAUCCGCCAACUCCAGCCACUGGAUAAUGGACCAAAGAUCUGUAGCCCGACACGGCCCAUAGAUGUUUGCAUACCAAAAAAAAAAUCUAUUGCUGCAGCAAAGCCGGACAGCGAAACAUAUUUGCUUGAAGUCAAAAGCUAUGUAAACCUUUUAUUUAUUUAUUCAUUUUUUAACAAUCCACAACAUCCCCCUGUACCGUCCUCCGCUACCUUAAGGGGAGCGGGAGGAGGACCGGAGGCCUCGUAUAUUUCUUCUUAAAAUUCACUGGGUCUUGGUGCAAUGACAAGCGAGAAUCCCUUUAAAUCUGUCUUGUCUUGUGUACGAGAUAGGUUGAAAGUUGAAAUCUUGCUUAGUACAUUAUUGUACAAGAAGCAUAAUCUCCUUUAGGAUUCAUUUGUUUGGAUGGUGAAUUAUUUACAAAAAAAAUUAUUUACUUGCAUCGUCAACAAAUUUUUGAAUCAUUUUUUUAUCUCAUAUAUAUAUAUACAUAUAUAUAUAUAUAUAUAUAUAUAUCAUCAAAAAAGUGCUAUAGUACUAGUGUGGUUGUUUACCGAAAUAAGAGAGGCAAACUAACCAAAUUGAAGUAUUCAACUAAUCAAUCUCUAGUAAGUAGAUUCACCUUUCUUUUGCAUUCCUUAUUACUGGCACCAUCAUCAUGUGCUCCAUUUUGGUUUAAAUGUCUUGCAUAAUUCGUCUGCUUCUGUUUUGACCAAUGCUUUACAAAAUGGAUAGGCAUGUUCAAAUCAGGCCAUUGCUUCUAGCUUUUUACUCCAAACCCAUAUAGUAAUAGCAAAUACCAACAAAAGAAGUUGGUGAAGGAAACAUACCGCAUUAAACUUUUAAGGAAAUCCAGCAAGGAGUUGAAAGAAAAUUCGUAAGACCCGUCUGGCAUUGCCAAAAAACGAAAAAAAAAAAUAUCAAAUAGAGGCCUCAACAAUGAUUCUCUUAUCUACACUUGUGGACAAACCGACUUAAUUAACCAUGCCAACACAUUCAAGGCUCCUUGAACAAAUCAUCUCCUAGAUCAGAUAGUUAUUGAUUAAUACUAAAAACCAGAGUGCAAAAUUAGAAAAAUGCCAAAAUCAUCUUCUGCUUAAUGGUGGCUUCAUCAUCACCGUCGUAGAAAUACCCUUCAAUUUGAGUCUCAGCACGGUUUUCUGUUGGUUUAUCAUCUUUCUGUUCCUCCUAGCUUCUGCAGCUUUGGUCCUGUUAUCAUCAGCAAAAGCCCUGCAAUAAUUCAAAGGCUGAGACGAGGCCACGCCGUAAGUACCCUCAGGAGUAGCACUAGCAGCAGCUCUGAGAUUAGAAAUGUCUGGUGGGCCCACGGCAUUGACCUCACCCAAUCCGGUACUGGACGAGAACGAGCUUGGUCUAACUUGCACUUGGCCAUUACCAUAUGGGUGGAACAGCGCUGGUCUUAUUAUUGACUCUGCAGCCAUUUGUUCCCCGUUGAAUUGAUUCUGAUCGGGGUUCGCAAGAACAUGGUAACUUCGGACGCAAUUAAAUCCAGGAUUGAAGCUUUUGCCCAAUUCCAAAUUGGGCUCCUCUCUUGUACGAUGAGUACUGGUAGACAGCACCUGUAUAAAGCAAGGAUGGAUGAUUACAAUUAUUAAGACGAUGAAUAGUAGUGCUACAGGGUGGAAACUGGAGAGAAAAGGUUAUGGUACAGUAGAGAAAAUCUAACGUCAUCGUUAUCAGAAAAGUGAAAGCGGGCUUUAAAAAAAGCCGUACGUACCUGUUGUUUCUUUGCUUUCAACUUCUUAUUGUAAGCCAACAGCUCGUUAUAGUAACUUUUCACGUUCUGUAUCUCCUGUUAAAUUAAAUUCACCAAAGUAGAAAAACGGAGUCUGUCAAUUCUCCGCUGGGAAGACCAUUACCAUCGAAUCGAAAUAGAACAAGAAACAGUGAGUUUGUUUGGAUAGAGAGAUUUUGGAAAAAAAAAUUUUGCCUCACAAAUUCCAAUCACUUUAUUAUCUUUCCAAUUACCUGUUUAUCUCACACACAUCACAUCACAAAAAAUAUUAUAAUAAAUAUCUCAAAUAAACUCUUAUCCAAACAAAGUCAGUAAGUAUUUCAUACAAAAUAGUACGCUCUAAUGUGUGAAACCUAAGGAACGAGGGGGGUGUAGGCAGAACAAAAACGAAGACAAAUGAAUUUAGUACAGGAAAAAAAAAAAAGGCUAACCUUUAUUAGCACUUCUCUGCUUUCAGCCAAUCCCUCCAUGCUCUUUCUCAACUGCUCCGUCAACAACGCCUGAAACGAAAGAAUAGCAGUAGGUAAAAUCACUGUUAAUAAAACAUAGUAGUGUUCGAACCAAAGGGAGAGAGAAAAAAAAAUAGUAAAGCAAUUAAACUAACUGGAUAAGCAAAAACAGAGCCCUGUAACAGGGGUUUACGUCAAAGGUCAGAAACAUAAGGAAGGGAGGAAACAAAUUUGCAGAGACAAUCCACGUCUUAAAACUCCGAGAAAACAAAAACCCAUGAAUCAAACGGCAUAUACGUACAACUAGUGGGAAAAAAGAAGAUUAACAAGAAAAAAGGAAAGAAACUUACCCUCUUCUUGGAUUUUUUGCGGCGGGAAGACUUGUCAUCGGAUUCAGAACUAGCAUUAGCCGGGAAAGAGAGCGGCGUAUCUGGGCUUGUAGAGCCAACAACUUUGACUUCUGGUUGACUAAUCUUGUUGUUUUGCAGGGACUGCAAUGGGGAAGAAGACUUCGAAAGGGUGGUUGCGGGAUUAUCAGGAGGAGGAGAAAGGCUAGUGGUAGAAGAUCCCCUCCUCGUACCACCGCGGCGGCAAAUCAAUCUUUUCUGAGUACCCCAUCUCACCAGGAAUGGUGGUUUCAGACGAGGAGUAGUCGUUCGAAGCCUUAACUCGGACUCUACAACUAGAUUUCCUAAAUUCAACAGUAUUUCACAAACUUCAAUCUCGUCCUCGUUGAACAGAGACCGAAUGCGCUCCGCCUCUGCAAUACUCUCUUCCAUUCUUCUUCUCCUUUUUCCUAAUUCUCACGCUUUAUCAAUAAUGAGUAUUAAACAAGAUAAAUUUUUUUUUAGAAGAAAAAACUGAAAGGGGCAUAAAAAGGAAAGGAUUAGACCUUGGUUUUCAGAGAGAUUUUUAUUUGCAGAGGGCAGGGGCGAAUUGUUUCCUGGAGGGGAAGUGGGAUCUUUUAAGCAGAGGUGAAAAUCCACGGGAGUGUAGGACUAGCUGGCUGUCGCCACGUGUCGUUCGUCCAGGGAUGAUGGGUUUGCUCUAGGGUUUACACGUUUGCUACAAAAAGCGUGUUGGGACACAACGCUUCUUGUGAGUGAGUGAGUACUCACCCUUUUUUUUCUUUUCUUCUUCUUUUUUGGUAUUUUAUAGUUUAGCAAACAUUUUAACAAUUCGACAUGGACCUGGAUUGGAAUCUGACUCAGUUUCUGUUGGAUGAGAAACUGGAAACUUACUGCAAAAUGUUUCUCUUCCGAGUGCUUGAUGUGCAAGUAACUGAGGACUAAUCAAACCACUUUUAGAUAUCUGCCGAUUUUGUGUACUUGCAUAUUGUUUUGAUGAUUAUCGAAAUAAAUAAAUUAGUUUUUUAGUUUGCCCCAACUAUUUCCUAUAUUUUUGUGUGGUAUUUCCACAGAUGUUUUACUUUUAAAGACACUUGAAUUGUUUUUGGAUUUUGAUUUUCCGAUUAUUACGUCAGUAGCUCAAUACCGAACUUAAAGAAAUAAUCGACUCGACUCGAGAGUUUAUCAAAUUCGAGUCAGUAGCUCAAUACCGAACUUAAAGAAAUAAUCGACUCGACUCGAGAGUUUAUCAAAUUCGAGUUCAAGAUUGAUCAGCAAAUUGAGUUGAGGUCAAGUUUUAAAAUUCUAUACUCACGAGCCUAAUCAAGUAUUUUUUUAUUUUUAAUGUCUACUUUCAUUUUUUAUAUUUAUGAAUUUUUAGUUUUGAGUUUUUAAUUUUUUAUUGAUGGAGUCACUACUUCCAAUUAGACAUGGCUAAUUUUGUUUUACCAUUUUAAUACUAGUUCAAGUGUUUUAACUUUGUAAUUGCACAUUGAUUAGUGAAAACUUUCAAUUAGAUUUGUUUUAAUUUAAUCAAGCAUGCUUCAUUCAGCUAGAUUUCAAGUUCUAGCUUGAAUUCAGUAAAAGGUACUCGAUGAGUUCGAGUUCAAUCUCGAAUACCCCUAUUUGUUGAUUAAGUAUUCAACUCAAUUCGGUUAAAGUUUUACCUAACUAUUUCGAGAUCAACCAGUUGUCCAAUUGUUUCAUACGAUAUGUCGCAUCACAAUUUACAAAACGCUAAUUUUGUGAUCGUUCCUGCACUUUUCCUGCAAUGCGAGUCGAAAGCCUUAAAAACUUAUCGCAGGCCGUUGCACGGUUUAAAUGAAGCCUAGUGCUAAUAUCUAUUGGCAGAUCAAACAUGCCUUUGCCUCUAUUUGUUUUUCAUCUUCACCUCGGGUACAUAUUGACCAUUUUUCCGCCUCCUUUUCCUUCCCGACGAAAACUAUCAACCAAUUCAAACAAGUAAUGUUAAAUAAUACAUAGGAAAAAGGCACAAUCAAAGAUGUUGCGAUUUUGGAGAUUAUGGUAAUUUUUAACCACCAAAUGCAUUUGGGUUUGACUAGAAUUAGGUAUCUAGUAUAUUUUCUUAUCCCUAGAUUUUAGGCUAUGCACCCUCUAUUUUAGGUAUGUCUCCUAGAUUGUCUGUGACACUAAAAUUAACAAAUUUUUUCUUUUUUGAAACAAUGAAACGACUGAUAACAUACAGUAGUAAAUAACUCUAAAGCACGUAUAUACUAGUUGUUCGUGAUAUGGUACCAUGAUCACUCACGCAAUUACCCCAUUUUAAGUAGUAAGGGUGCAAAAAAUUGAAUAAGAACCCACAUCACAUCCACCUGAACAAGAAUCCUUCAAUUAAAUGGUGCAAAGUAAUUAAACUCGAAAUCCUCAUAUUCAUUGGAUUAUUCUCCACAAGACUCGGAUCCAUCAAAGGUUGAAGGGAAUGAAACUUAUCUAUCACAACAUCGCAAGUAAAUUGAAACCAACCACAAAAUGAGGGAAGUCUUGAUGUUGAUAUUGAUCAGGCUUUGCCCUGUUGUGUUAUGACGGACGUCGUUCAGUUUGAUCAGCUUCCAAUUUGGCUGAUGAUGACGGUUCAUCGCCAUAAGGCAGCCCUUCAUCUUGAUCAAUUUCCAGACUUUCCAAUACUUCAUCUGUACAUAACACCUCUUGAUUUAGAUCAUCAGCUUUUGAUGAUCUUGUCGAUGAUGGUACAAUCCCACCACAUUGCAACUCUUGACUUUGAUCAUGAGUUUCUGGUCCACUGGUUGAUGAUGGUUCAAAGCCAAAUUUUAGCACUGGACAAUUCUGUUCAAGUUUUACGUUUGCUGAUGCUUCUUCACCGGCAACUUUCAGCUCUUGAUUUUUUUGACCAUGAGCUUCUAUUUUGGCUGAUGAUGCUUUAUCACCCAAUUCAAACAUUGGACUAAGUUCAAUUUCCACUUUAAUUGGAACUUGCUUUUGGGUUCUUACCCAGUUACAAAAGAUUUCCAUUUGUGAAUGAUUGAAAAUUAAACUUUUCUGAUUAGGGAGAAUGAAUCAACAAAAAGGGACUUACCUGCUGCAAAUUCGGUUCCUUGGUCUCUUUCAACAGCAAAUUGAAAGUCCUUUGAUGAGUUAGAAUCUUUUCUCACUCCUAAUUUUAGAAGAAAGCAGGUCAAUUUAUUAGUUUAGUUCAAAGAAACUCUAAACUAACUCUAGUCGGCAAUAAAGAAUGUAUCAUCACAAAAACAUUCUUCCUUUAUAUCGAGUCGUUUAAAUCCUGCUUCAACCCUUCCGAAGCAGGCAAAAUAUUAAUGCAAGAUUAAGCAAACCGAUAAAAAGAUGUAUGUUAUAUUUGGACCGCAUGCAAGAAAACAAGAAAAUCAAGAAAGCCCCACAUAAUAAAAUAAGCAAAACUAAAAACGAGAAACACAAGCAAAGCUGCAAGAGCGAAGAAGGGGUAUGCAAAUUAAGGGCACACAGAAUUAAACUAACCUCAUUGGUCGUGUUGACUAGGUGGUGGUGGUGGUGCAGAUAAAAUAUUAAUUCCUCACCUAUUCUUUUUGGGCAAACACUUUCUUUUCAUGUUUAUUUAUUUAUUUUUUUUUUGGGUGAGGCUAGCUUUUGUAAGGGGUGUAAUCACAAUAUAGAAACUAAUUCCCAACAAGUCUUAAUCCACGCCCCGGGGUUAGACCAUCUGGUCUUGGGCUGAACUCCAAGGUCAAGUGGUCGAAUCCCACUUAACUCCCGGUGCGCUUGGGGUGGCGGUGUACUUGGGCGCAGGGGAUUAGUCGGGCCGCCUUCGAGUCUUGAUCGGACACCUCUGUGAUGACAAAAAAAAAAAAAAAAGUCUUAGUCCACCGUAACUUCUUCCUUUAAAUGGACAAGUAAUAUUCGGAACAACAAAUUUGCACUUCUUAAUUCUAUAGCCCAUUUAUGGAUGAAACUCUAAAAAGUGGUGCAUGUGCUGCCUAGAUUUUAAGGGCAAAAAACUCCGACGACUACUAAUCUAUUUUCUUGAUAAACUCAUAUCCACUCAAUUAUUUUUUGAUUUAAAAUAGCCACUCAACUUGUAAAUGUAUAUGUUAGUGGUCAUUCCGUCCAAAUUCAAUGUUAAUUCUAACGGAUUGAGUUGCAUGUGCAUCAUACAUGCAAAAAUCCUAAGUAAAUUCGUCCAACUACAGAAGAUAAAAAAAAUUAAAAUAUCACUGAACUAUACAAAUAAUAUAUUUUUAGCCACUCAAUUAUUUUUUAUUUGAAGUUGGUCACUCAAGCUCAGCAAAAGUAGUUUAUUAGCAGUCUUCAUUCAAAUUUUGUCAUUGAAUCUACUAUUUCUAUUUAGUUUCAGGGCUUCUAUAAGUAAUUCAAAGAACUUCAUUAUAUGAUUUAAAUACUUUGUCAAAACUUAUAAAUCAGAAUCUACUAAGACAACUCUUAUGGAUUCUAAAUUUUAUUUUUUGUACUAUUGAAAAAUCUAAAACUCUAAAUAAAAAAAGAAAAAACUUAAAGAGAUCAAAGUUUUGAAUCAAGUGAAAAACAAAGAUCUUAAGAGAAAAAACCGAUACCAUUGCAACUAUUAUACCAAUUCGCUAAAUUGAAUGGGUAAUGUCAAACAAAAAAUCUUUUAGUGGCAAAAAAUGUACAACUUGAAUAGAUUAGCAGUUAAUAAAAUUUGUUGCCCUUGUUUUUUGGUUGGGUGAAAUUACCCUUGUUUUUUGGUUGGGUGAAAUUACCCUUGUUUUUUUGGCAUGUGAAUUACACAUGGAACUCGUUUUAUUAGCAUUAACAGCAACAUUUGAAGGAAUGGCCAUAAAUAAAUAGACUAAUUUAAGAGUUCAGUGACCCUAUUCAAAUACUAAAAAAAUACUGGAGUGACUAAAAACGUAUCAGCAAAAUAGUUUAGCGUCCGCUAAAGGUUUUUGCCCAAGAUUUGACCAACAUCUAAAGACUCAGCAAUUUGAAUUAAACGACACUCCAGAAGCAAUCCUGGAAGAAAAUUGAGACGCGAUAAUCCCUAAUGAUAUAACCAACCACUAAUGUACUUAACCAGCUUUCUGUUUUUUCGAAUUUUUAGCUUUCAGAAUAAAAUCGUCAUCGUCUGAUCCACUUUCUGAGGACGAAUCAGCAAUCUUGCAUUUCUUUGACUGCUUUGACACAACUUUGGAAUCCAGUGUCCUCUUUUUCUGGGUUGAAACUGCAGAUGAUGUUUUCCUCUUGAUGGUAACAGAAUCAACUUUGCUCUUGACGGUACCAACAGCUUUCACAGGUGACUUGACUUUUUGUUGCGGAGCCUUUUUCUGUUUCUUCUCAAAAAUCUUCUUCGCCGCCUCCUUUUGAAGCAGACCAGAUUCCAUCAUCCUGGAAUUACAUAAAUGAUAUAGAACAAGCCUAUCAGUCAAUCAAUCAAAGUUUUGACCACAUGGCGGCUGGAAAAGACAGAGGUGGCUUAGCAUAUUGAACAAUUACUGAUACAUAGAACAUCUGUUAAUUCUAGUGUAAAUAUUGUUCAGUUAAGUCCGCUAUAACUUUCACCUCUAUAUGAUAAAAUGCUAAACAACAUGCUUAAAGAUUAAAGUACAAUAAAGAGAUUCAACUUUGCUUUUAUCAGGUAAUCAGAGAUGGUGCCUAAUCUCAAAAAUGUGUCUAAGAAGCAUGUUUGCUGCAAGCACCAAGACACUCCUAGCUGAUCAUAUUUCACACCAACACAUUCCUAGUGUAUCACAUAUCACACUUCAAAGCCAAAAACUUUCAUAUGGUGGACACGUAAUUAUCGCAUCCAAAACUCAUCAAUCACUAAUUAAAGACAAAAUCAAGAAUACAACUCCAUCAAGUACAAACUAUACGACGCAGAAGUUUAAUCCCUAUACUGAGCAUAUCAGAAAACUGUACCUCUCAUAAAUGCAUAGUAAAAAUAUGCAUUUACAAGACAUUAGUUCCUUCAAGUUACCAGAACCUCCUCGGAAUAUCUAAUAUAAAAAGUGACGAAUUGCUCUUAACUCCUAACAAACAAGAGCCUUUUCUUGCUCAAAUUUUUCCAAUGAUGAGAUUUCCAACUUAGAUUUCAUGAAAAACCAGGCAUAUACAAAUAAUGGGGGAACAGACAUUGCACUACCUGAACAAAUACUACAAAGGACAAAAAAGCAAGUAGCUUUCUCAAUCUAAACAAGGUUGGUCCUCUUCCUUUCUUCUUUCCUUUUUCCCCCGGUAAUAUUGAGCAAAAUUUUUUCUGCUAAAUGAACCCUAAGUUAUUUUAUCUAUUGGUGAACGCUAACCAAACAAAAAAUCACUGCUUGGCUGACUCAAUAAACUUUUCCUAGAUGGCCUAUAACUCAAUAAGCUGCUCACUUAAUAAGGCUAUUUGGAUGGUGCAUAAAAAAUGCUCCAUAAUGCUGCUGAUCCUCAUGUCUAAACCAUAACAAAAUCAUCAUCAUGCCUGACAUUUUGCUAGUGGUCAUUUUUAAAUCAAAACUACAAAAUCAUCCUUCUGCAUAAUGUACAAGUGCAUCAAGCCAUCUAUUCACAAUUUGUAUAACAGAGUGUACACAAAUGGAGUCUCAAGCAGAGAGCAGAAAAUAUCAAUAGGUAGACCAACUUCAUAACAUAACAAUUAUCACUUGAGUUUGUUGUAAAAAGCUCUGAAAUCUUCCAUGAACGAUGCUAUACUAAGUUGUCUCUCUUCGAUAGCAAGAGAUGGUUCAUCAAUUAUUCCCAGACCAUCCCAGUUUAAUUUGGCCGAAAAUGCAAGGCAGAGCCACUAUCAGGCAAUUGUCAUUACUGGAAAUUUAACUUGUAAUCUUGCUAGAAGAUAAAUGAUUUAGCUUGCCUGGAUUUAAAACAGAACUCUAAAAGCAUAUCGCCCUCUCCUUUCUUAUCACAAUUUACACGUACUAGCUAUAUCUUUUUCCUUUUAGGUGUUAAUUUAGAGACCAAGGAAUAGAGGCAGUGUACACCAAACAGACAAUAAGAGCUACAAAAGACAAUUAAAGAGUUCAUGACAAUUCCUUUAGACCUGCAUUAAGACAAGUAGAAUCGUUAGCCAUGACAGCUCUCCAGCUGCCAUUCUUGAAGUUGUAGUUGCAACAAACACGACGGCCUAAAUCUUUUUGGAACAAACUACUAACAAAGGUAUUAAAAAAAAAAAAAAAAAAUUACAGAGAAGCUUUGAGGGGGAUAUAUCCAUACCAGAUUGCUGCCAUUUCACUGUUUGGUACUUGCUUAUAUAAAGUCUCGUAGAAAAUCCUUAAUGGGUCUCUCUGCAAAUGAAAAGAUUAUUUUGGUCAGUGCUACAAAAUACCCCAAAACAUAAACAUGUAUUUUCAUAUAAAAGGAAAAAAAAAAGUACCUCCUCCGGAGGUUCUCUCCUCUGACCAGGCAAAUCAUAAACUUUCUUUUCUCUUUUCUUAGCUGUUUGCUCAGUUUCUUUAGCCUCCUUCUUCUUUGUCUCGUCCUCUUUCUUCCUCCUUUUCUGCACCUUUGAACAAAAUAACCCACACUAUUAGGAGGAAAAAAAGAUCGAGACAAAAAAGAACACCAACAAAUAUGUGUACUGAAAAUCAACCUUAUCAGAGGACUUGUUUGAGCUUUUCUUCGGAGGGCUCUGCUCAAAAUCUUCAUCUGCUUCUUCUUUCUUCACUCUCUUAGUUUCUUCUUUUCUGGCUUUGGCUUCCUUUUGGGUGGCAUUGUUGGGCUUUUUCUUCUUAAGGGAAUCCAAAGUUUCUUCAUCUUCGUCUUUAACCCUCUGCUUCUUCACUGUUUUUGCAUCCUCGGAUGGCAUUUUCGCCCAAUAAUUACUGCCAGAGGGAUAUUUUGCCGGUUAGCUUGAUGCCUGAGAAGGGAAUGCUUGACCAGGUGAAGCGAGGGGGUUUUCUUCUGGUUGGUUGGAUUCCAAAUUCAAGAACGGGAGCGCCCGGUUAAUUCUUGUAAUUUCUCUCACGGGUCGGGUUGAUUUGCAACUCUGCAAACUGGAAAUUAGUGGCCCAAGGCAGUCCAACAGGCCCAUUAGUCUAUCGUUCACCUUCUAGGCUGGAUGAAUGACAUCAUGGCAAGUACUGAAAGCUCAACUUUCUUUCCGAGCAGUAGUACUUGGGCAUUUCAAGUUAGUCUAAACAAGCACUUCUAUUUCCAAUAGGCGUGACCUUGAUGAAGCCUCACACCGAGUCCACACAAGCUUCUCACCGUGGCCCAAAUUUAUGUAAUUUGAUUUAUUUAUUUAUAAACUUUCAAAUUUUUAACGAGCAAAAGAAAAAACUCGUUAAAAAUGCAUUAAACCUCUGUGAACUUUAACUCCAAUUAUUUCAUCCCAUAAACUUCUUCAAUAGGCACUUAAUUCCUCCUUUCUGAUCUGUUGGACAAAGGUGUCCUUAAUUUCUUUUUCUCCUUCUUCAUUCAUUCCCUUUUUUUUCUCUUUCUUUUUUAGUUUUUCUUCUCUCAUGUCAUUGUUUCCAUCCUUUCCUAUUAAUAUUACGAAUUGUAUGCUCAAGUUAAUAUUGUAUUUUUUUCUUCUACUUAUAAUUUUAUUCUUGUUGUAAUUUAUUUGAUUGUGUAUUUUCCCUAUUUGUAAUUCAUAACAAACUAUAUGGCAUGAAAAAAAAUUUUGCUAUAUCCUUAUCAUAAUGGAAAAACAUAUAUAAUCUAACAACUUAAUUACCUUAACAUAUAGAAACAUAUUAGAAUGUACAAUUACUUAAUGUUUGAAAGUGAAUGCCAAAUAACCAAAACAAUUAGUAUUUUUAGUUAUCUUUAUUUAUUUAUUUCUUACUAUGUGUAUAGUUGGAAGAUGUUAAUGGAACUCUCUUUUCUCAUUGGAAUUCCUAUAGAAUCUUUGACUGUGCGGAUUAAACAGAAGUACCCCUAUUCUUCAUUAAAUUUUGAAUACAUUAUUUUUGUUAAAUUAUAAUUAAAAUGGAAAUUAUGGGCUUUUUAUCCUCUCAAAUGAAUAAAAAAAUUUCAAGCAAAGUAUCGUUAAAUAAUAAUGGACUGAUUAAUAUUUUCAUUUUUAAUUUGAUUUAUUAUUUGUCCCUUUUACUAUUAAUAAUUGAUUAAUUAUAAGUUCAUUUCUUUUAGAUGUAUCUAAAUAAUUUGAAACCAUAUGAGAUAUGCUUUGCACAUACCUAACAUAUAUUUGUGAUUAGUAUUAGUGCUAAAAAAUUAAACAUAACAAGAUCAAAAAAAAAAAAAGCUUAAGUUCAAGUAUACUAAAAAAACAAUAUACGAAUAAUAGUAGUAAAAAGAUGAAAGUAGCUAGUCACACAAGAGAACAGAGAAUAAGAAAAUAGUAAAAAGGACCUUAUUAUUAUUAUUAUUUAUUUGUUCUGUUUGUUGACACAUUUUGAGGUACUAAGAGUAUUUGGUUAACUAUGAAAUAAAUCUUAUACUACCUAAUAGACUCCAGAGUUUCACUUAAAAAGAUUAAAUAACGGAGUAACAACUUACAAAAGAAAUGCAUUCUUGUAUAUUAUUUUAUCUCGGUUUUGUAAAGCAAAAUGGUACCACACUAGAGCAUAUGGAACAUUUCAGAUAGCUAGCUGGAUGCAUCCAGAAAAGAAGUCGGUUGGGGAUAGAAUCUAAAACUCCAUUACUAAUUUACAUAAAUUAUAAGCAAGCAUCUAGCUUUUUUCAGAACACUAACUUUAUCCCCUGCAGAAUUGAUCUUCUAUGCAGUAACCAAGCUUGUUCUCAACUCCUCGACUUCAACAAUACCCAGAAAGAAUUUAGCUGAUAGAUUUCUGAGGACAAGAAAGGAGAAAAAGUGGGAAAAAGAAAAAGAUGGGCAAUUGGUUUGUAACAGAAGGAAGGGGAACAAGCUGGAGAGACCAAACCUUAGCAUCAGUCUCACUACCACCCGCGCCUUUGAUGGUUAUAUUUGGGCUGGUAGCUGCGUUAAUGUGUAUGGCAAGUUACUGGGACUACAAAGCCCAGAUGGAGCGUACCAUGACCGGUUUCAAGCUGUUUCUUUUUCUGCUGCCGUUGCUACUGAUUUUGAUGGUUCAUUUGAUGAUGCUUAGCAGGAGGUGGUUUUAUAUCAGAGGUUUAAGGCCGGUUUCGGAUCAGUCGACGAGCCAACAAGGCAACAGCUCCCCUCCUUGGGGGCUGGUGCUGGUGGUGCUGCUGCUUUUGGUGUUAGUGUAUUAUCACUCUUCUUUCCAGUCCAGCUGGUUUCGACCUCCUGUCUAAACAGUACUUGGCGUUCCAAAAUCCAGGCUCCAUGCUCUUCACAUGUCCUAGCUAGCAUAUAUCCGAGUACAACUGCGGAAUGGUCAGAAAGGAAGACAAGGUGGUGGUUUUGGUGCGUCGUAGUACAUCUUUUCUUGGUUUUGUGUUUCCUGGUUGGGGUCUAGCUACACCAACGAUCUUUUGCUGCUGUGAUUUUUGUUUUACGCUGUCGAUUUACUGGGUAUGUAGCGAUUAGCCUGCCACAUAUUAGCUAGCUCAAUAGUCUGGUCCAAUUUGGUCGCGUCGCUUAUUAAUCAUUAGGAAAUCCGUGAUAUGGGGCUUAAACAUCUGUUGUAUUGAGUUCCGAGUAAUGAGUAUUCGUGAUCAGCCAUCUUGAUCUUUUCUAAAUAAAAUGAGGUUAUAAGCAGAAUUGAAUUCUGGAGUCAAUGAAUUGAAUUAUCAAUAAAUAAUAAAAACCCUUUUUCUUUUUACUAAAGUUAAUCUUAUUUGUAUGGCAGAAGAGAGAGUUUGAUAGAAGUAGCUUUCUGGACACUUAUCUUUUAACCUCGAGGAUUCAUGCAGGACUAAAAAUGAAUAUCGGAAUUCAAUUUAAAGGAAGAGAAAGUUUGAUAGGAGUAAUUUUCUGAACAUUAUCUUUUAACAUUCUUGAUUCAAACACGACUGAAAAAUGGAUCUUGGCGCUACCCUUGAAAGCAAACCCUUACUUAUUGUCAACAUGACAUCGCCGACUAGAAUUCCCGGAGGCCCGUGGUGGGCUUCAAUUCAAGUCUUGCUUCUCUUUAGAGAGUUUCUGAAGCCUCGCAAAAUCAAGGUUCCUGCUAUUUUUCCUCUUGUACAUCUCUGCAAAUGUAAUGGGUUCCUCCAGCUCUGACCUCCCUCCGCCCAAUCUUCACCUGGGAACACAAUGGCCUCUGGCGCUGGAUACUGAAUUGUAGUAAUUGAGAGUCUGCUGGAAUCACACCCUUCCUCUCCCUCCUCCCCCCACCCCCCCCAAAAAAAAAAAAAAAAACAAAAAAAACCCCCUUUUUCUUCCUUCAGCUAAACAUAGUAGUCUUAAUCCUAACUAUUAAAGCAUAAACAUGAAAAGAUUAAUUGAAAAAUCGAAUAUAAACACACCCAAACCGAACACUGAAAACUUGCAUGCCAUAAGAUCAAUUCAGCUGGCCAGGUGGAGGCUGGUACAAAGUACAAACAAUUGCAUAGGUGCGUACGCACCUUGUAGUGUAGCAUUCUAACCAAAAUUUCUCGUUAACACAUUUCCAAAUUUUACAAUGUGGUUGAGUGGAACUAGUUGGGGGAAUUAAACAUCACUACAAAGUAUUUUGUUGCCUCGCACAAUGUGGUGCAAGGAUCCCACAUACAUUAAUUUAGGAUGAAGCUCCCAGUUUCAAAGAACCAACAACAGACGUACUCCCUGCACUACAUUUCACUACACACAAACAUGACUGACUACCUGCGCUGGGCAGGAGUUGGUGGCAGCAGGAAGUCCUCCCUAGGGGGGUCUUCCCCCUGGCCAGUAGGGGAAACCCAGUUUGCAAACUUAUACAUAUCUUACUUGACUACCGCUCCCCUAACAUAUACUAAAAGCUACAUCUGAUUUCAGCUAGAAAUCAUGUUAAUUUAAUGCACAAAAAGAAAGGGGAAAGUUACACUAGGAUUAGCAAGGACAUAGAUAACUCAAAGCUAUAUAUGCACAAACAAACAGCUUAGCCUUCUUGCAAAAAAAAAAAAAAAAAAAAAAAAUUGAAAGAAUAGAAGAAAAUGGUGAUGGAGGUCAAUGGACAGCUGGAGAUGAAUUCUUCAGCUUAGGAACCUUAAAUGAGGACGUGAACAAUUUGGGGGUGUUAGAGGCCUGAAUGGUAUCAACUGCUUUCCUCUUUGAACUUUUGCAUCCCUACAAACACCAUAGUGGAAUUUGCUUAGCAUUUCGAAGGUUUAUCUGAUUAAGAGCAGGUCAUUCCACAAUUAAUUCAACUUGAAUCAUGCAAUCACCAACACCUGUAAAACCAGACAUGCUUUCAACAGGACUUCAGCAUGUGGAUCAUGACUGUAUAUGUACUUUUCCUCAGCUAACUGAGAUUUAAACUUUGAACCACAAUUAAAUUGUUCUACUACAGACACCAGAUUUAAAUAAGAAAAAUUAUAGACUUCAAAGACAUAAAAAGCAGAAAAAAUAUUCAACUCAAGACUAUUAAGCAUGUACAAAGAGCAACAAGCUUGACAAGAAAACCACUUUAGCACAAGCUCCCAUAUGAGGCUCCGUUUGGAUUGGUCAUUUUUUCAAAAACAAGUUUUUCAAAUACAAUACCACAAUAACUCAAAAAACAUCCCAUCCAUACAAUAUAUCCAAUAUUUUUAAAAAAUUUUAUAGUAAAAAUUUUUCAUAUACAUUACUACAAUAAAAUUUUUCAAAAACACCCCAAAAAACAGCUAAUCCAAAAUUUAACAACUCAAUCUUUGAAGAGGGAGGGAGAGAGAGAGGAGAAAAGAGAGGAGUGGUGAUAGAUGGCAGAAGAAAAUGGCAUAGAUCUUAUUUUUUAUUUUUUUUUGCAUAUUUGGAGUUGUUUUUGAUAUAUUGUAUAGAUGUGGUGUUUUUGGAGUUAUUUUUGUUUGUGCAUUACUGUAUUAUUGUAUAUGAAAAACUUGUUUUUCAAAAAAUGAGGAAUCGAAACGGAAUCUUUCCAAUGCUAGCAUAUAUUAAAGAGUUAAUCACUGCCAGAUUCUGUCUUAAGGGGAAGCAUACUAUAAAUUGCAGGCCAGAACAAAUUUUGUAUACUAACAUCUUAAAGAAUAACUGUCCUUUUAUAUUUCUAAUUUAUUCUGGCAAAUUGUUUUUGAAAAUGUAACUCGUACAGUAUAAGUAUGACAAAGUUCUUUCUUUCAAUUUGAACUGUAUGUGACAGACAAAAGCACAAAUUCAAUCUAUAUAUGAAGGAGAAACAAGAAUUCAAUGACAUUCUUAUAUUUUAAUAAUUACUGGGAUAAAAUGCAUCAGAUACACAUCCAGGGUAUACUGCAAUGUUAGUAGCAAUGCAUUUCAAUCGUCAGCAACUUGUUAGAAGCAGAAUUACCUUUUCAAGUGUAAGGGAAGAAUCUAACUCUUUCUUUGUCGUUACUGUCAUCCCACUCUUGGCUUUUGAGUUGGUAUUCCCAGAUUCAGUUGUGCAGCGACCUAACACUGGGGUCAUAGAAUCUUUUCUCAACCUCCUUAACGCCUCCAGCUCCCUAGAUAGUCUGGAAACUUCUUCAUCAUUUUUAACUAAGUCAGAUCUUAGCCUAGCAAUGUCAUCGUUUAAUCUUGCAAUCAUUCUAUCCUUUACAGAAUUAGAAGACUGCAUAUCCUCCAUGCUCGACAGAAGCCCCCAUAUCUUCUCAUUUGCAGAUUCAACAUCAGCACACUUCUGUCUCAAUUGCUCAUUCAAAUUGGUCUCCAUUAGGUUAUACUGGUUCCAGACAAAAUUCUUCUCAGCCAGCAGAGCAGAAAUCUCUGAAUUCUUAUCUAACAUAAGCUUCUCAUUUUCACAUUGCAGCCUUUUCAAAUUACUCUCCAGAGCUUUAUACCGAUGCUCUUCUCCUUUUUUAAUCACAUCAGCAGAUGUAUCCUGCAAAUAAACAUGAAACAAGUGACUCUUUGAAGAAGAGACUAAAAAAAAUGAAUCAAAUACAACCUACAUCUCCUUAAAGAAGGGGUUCAAAAAAUACCUUUUCCGAGCACUUACGAGCAAGGCGUUCAAACCAUUCCCUAAAAUCAGCCAAUUCACUAUCUGCAUUUUCUGCGCUUAAUAAGCACCAAAAAGGAGAAAAUACAUGAGCAGGUGCAUUAAAAAAAAUCAAGAUUAAUAACCACAGAGGACAUGAUAUUUCAUUUCUUUGCUUUCCUAAUCUAUAUACAGGUAACAGAGAGCGACUUUCCAAUUAGACUAUACUGAUCAAGAGCACUAUAACAGCGCAAAAUGACUAAUGGAACAGAGAUGCACAGAACUACGUAAUUGAAGUUUAUGCAAUUUCCAGCACUUGUGCUCUCAUAUCUUUGUGGCAGUUUGCAUAUGAAUUUAAACCUAUAACAACCACAUGCACAUACUAUAGGUCUCUUAAAGAUAAUUGUUUCUUUUGCAGGGGACGCUCUCUUGGGUACUCCUUUUUUUGCCAUGUGUUUACAUUGAACUUUUAAAAAGCUUUUCGCGACCAUCUACUAAAAUAAUCUUUAAAAAAUUCAGCAUAAUCCAAACUAUACACCACAGGUGUACAAUAAUAAACGCAUAAACAUACUCUCUACAGAGUUAUCGAGAAAAUAAAAGAAGAACAAAGAAAAAAAUAAAAACACUUUAAUUCUUGUUCAGUAGAAAGAAAAGUAAACUAACCAAAUUUCUGCUUGUACAGGAAAGACUCCCUCAACUUCAAACCCAUAACCAUAUCAGCUUUAGUAGCCUCAACGAUGCGCUCCUUUUCUUGCAUGGUCAAAUCCCUCCUCAUCUAAACCACCAAUUUCAAUGCCAAAAAAAAAAUAAAAAUCCCAACUUUAUAAAGAAGAACCCUAAUUUGAUAAAUUUCAACAGCAAUUAAGAAGAAAAAAAAGAAGAAAACAAAACUUUGGCAUGGAAUUUUCACCUGGAAGAUAUGCUCUUUUAGAAGAUUAACAUCAGAAGUCCAGCGUUCAUGCUGUAACUUAACUAUGUCUUCAAGAAGCUUCCUGUCUUUAGCCAGAUAUUGAAUUUGCGUCUGCUGAUUCUGCAACAAGUGGACCAUAGCGUUAAAUAUUUUGUUGCAUUUUUCACGGUCCCAUGAGUCAUUUGAGCCUUUGGCUUUCGCCAUUGUUGGGUAAUUGACGCGAAGAGUAGCCUAGGGUUUCGGAGUUUUUUUCAAGUUUUCUUUCUUCUUUAACUUUUUCCCGUCGGGGCAGAAGAGUGCAGAGAGAAAGUGGGGGUCGGGGAGAGUGAACAUAUGACCGUUGGAUUUAGUAAAGUACACAACGGUCGAAAAUGUAGAAGUAGCUUUUAUUUCAAGUUGUGAUAAUUUCACAACCUCCCCUAAGGUUUCCAAUAUUAUUACUUAGCACUCUUGAAAUUAAAAUUAAGAUAAUUUUAGAAACCCCUGAGUAGAGCUGUAAACGAGCCGAAUCGAACCGAAUAUCUCAUGUUUGAGCUCUGUUCGUUAAGCGAUUCGAACAACGUUCGUGUUCGUUCGUUAAUUUUCGAACUCCAAACCUGUGUUCGUGUUCGGUUCGUUAAACAAAGUUCAUGUUCGAGUUCGAGUUCGUGUUCGUGUUCGGCUCGUUUAACAUAAACGAGCCGUUUGUGAACAUGCUCGAAAUACUCGAAUCCAAAUUAUUUUAAGCCUUAAAUAUGCCAUACAAAUCACUAAUCAUUCUAAAAAAUAAUUAAAGCACUAAGUGACUAAAUUCUAUUAUUCAUUAACUAUAUAACUAACAUUAACAUAAAAAUAACAAAUAAAACCCUCCAGUUAUAAAAGUCUAGCUAUAAAAUUAACCCUAAAAUUUGUCAAAUGAUAAUUAUGCCCAUGUUCGUGAACGUUCGCUAAAACUCACGAACAUGCUCGUAUUCACUCGAUUAUUAAUCAAACAAAAAAAUUCGUUCGAACUCGGUUCGUUUAAGAUUUCGAACGAGUUUUUCACGAACACGAACGCGUCGAAAGAAACCGAACUAUUAAACAGUUCGAUUCGUUUAACAGCUCUAGCCCUGAGGUUUUUGGCAAUUGUGACCAUCUCCUCUAAGGUUUAAAAAAUAAUGCUUAUCUCCUUUGAUUUUAUGGAAAGACUUGUAACCUUCACAAACUUUUAAGAAAUUUUAAGUAAAAUGAGUUCAAAAAAGAAAAUGAAAAUUCAUUUUUGGUAAUACUUCUUUAUUCUAAAAUUUUAACGUCAUCUAAUCUAGGUUACUUGGUUGCCAAAAUGAUGCCCGAAGAUCCAUCUCAUUUGGGAAUGAGAUAUCCCUGGAGAGGAGGAUAAACAAGUGAAGCCCCAGAUGAGAUGAGAAGAUCUUCCUCGUGCAUGGCCUGGCACCUUUGCAGAGACAUUAUUGGUCCUUCUUCCACCAACAUCAUUUCCAAUAUCGUAAUACAUUUUUGCUCGUCUUUCCAGUAUGGCUGUAUUGAAGAACACGUUAAAUUAAUGAUAAAGUGGAUUUGUUGGCCCUAGUUAAUAAACAUCUCUGUUUACGGGGAUCCUAUGUCGGAUAAUAAGGCAAGGUAUAAAGUGUAGCGGGAUAGGGCUGUUCCGGAUUUUAAAGAAAGUAAUUAAAUUAUCAAAAAAAAAAGAGAGAGUAAUUAAAACACCUUUGCUUAGGGAUCGAUCACUCAUUUAACUCGUACACAUACGGUCGAAUGCAGUCCGGGAACAACAAUACGACAUAGACCCAUUCGUCAAAGUCUUCGUUUAGUAGCAUUAAUGCGUAAUUAUGUGAUUUUAUUCCAUUGAUACUAAAUAAGAAAGUAUUAGCAAAGACACAGAAAUACCCUUUUUGAACCAGUAGACGUACAGUUACAAUUGUUAGACCCUUUUUGAACGAUGUAACAAUUAAUUAUCGAACACUUUGUGAGUUACUAUUAUAAAAUUUUGUUGAAUAAGAGUUAUGUCACCAAAUUUGUACGAUUUUAUGAUUUGGCUACUGACAAUGAUGAGAAAUUUGAUCAAUCACCGUGAUGUGAUGCACGCAAGUUGUUUCUCAAUAUCAUUUUAGUUACUGAUUCAAGAGAGAAGCAAGAAAUUUGGUGUAGUUUUUCUCUUGCUUAAUUAACACAUUAAGUAUUGAAAAUAUGCGGUCACCUUUUUUUUUUUUUUUUUUUGUUGAAUAUGCCGAUACUUGAUGAAAUUUUAAUUCUUUUCUUCAAAUACAUGAAUGUCUCCACAAAACGUUGUUUACACUUUCCGCUUUCUUCAUGACAAACAGACAGUUGCUAGCUGCAAGACAAAGUAAACUCGUACCAGUAAUACAUUAUAGGAGGAGGAAGGUAAAUAGUAAAAGCUUUACGCGUUGGACAAUUACUCUAUUAGUAGUACAAGUUCCCCAAUUUGUUCCCGAAAAAGGGGCCUUACUUUAAUUACCAUGCAAUGCAUCUGUACCUUCUCAAUUCUUCCACCAUCGAUCGCUUGCACCUAACCCUCCAUCCAUUUUCUCACGCCUUUUCUCUCUAUAAAUGCAACCAUCAUCGUCCUAGGGUUCUUAGCAUUCCUUAAACCUUGUACAACACAAAGCGAUUCCACAUUUUUUUUUUUUUUUAUAUAAUUGGUACACUACAGACAGAUUAAGCCAUGGCUUUUCCUAAGGCUCUCAUGAUGAUGAUGAUGAUCAUCAUCGCUUCCCUUGUUUACGCUGCUCAAGUGGUACGUAACGCUGGCUACAUUAAUUCACUCAUUCAAUACAAGAUCCUACGUUAUAUAUGCAUCCUUUUAAUUAGCUAGAGAACAAAUUAACAAAACUUGUUGAGUUCUCUAAUCCAUAUUAACAUAUUUUGAUUAUUUGGAGGCUGAUACAUUGUUCGUCCCGCAGCCGCAGAUUGACAGCAACGCGGUUGGUCGCUCUCUUCUCCAGAAUAAUGAUAUAGGUUCUUCUUCUUCAUAUAUAUAUAUAUAUAUAUAUAUAUUUUUUUUUUUUUGGCUUUGAAAGUAAUUUUCAUCUUUCUUGAAACUAAGGAAACUCCAUCUUUGUCGAUCAGAUUGCAAGUCUGCAUGCGACGCGAGGUGCGCGGAAACGAAGAGGCGAAAUUUGUGCAAGAGAGCAUGCGGGACAUGCUGUGAGCGGUGCCACUGCGUUCCUCCGGGCACUUCCGGCAAUGAGGAUGUCUGCCCCUGCUAUGCCAACAUGACCACUCACGGCGGCAGACACAAGUGCCCUUGAAUCCCUUUUAAAAGAAUGAAAAUUUUUUACAGCACGACAACUUCAUAGAUAGAGAUAGAUUGCGUACAUGCAUAUCGGUGAACUUGCGUUUUCUCUUCGUCGGAUCAGAUAUUAAGUACUGCUACUAUUACUAUGUGCGUGUCCAAUAAAGGAGAAAUAGCUACCCACCGUACUUUCUUUCAUUCAAAUGCUAUCUUUACUUGUGAUGAAGCCCAAUCCAUUUAAUUUUGGACACUCUCUUUUGUUCGAGUAACUGGCUACGAUAGCACUUCGAGGAAUAAAGAUCCAGGCCACCACUCGUGUGCGAGUUUGGAGUGAAUUCAUGAACUUGGAUACAUUUCAACACUAUCUUUUUCUCUAAAUAUUCAGUACAUGAUUCAUUAAAAAAAAUAAAGAGAAAAAAAAACCCAACUCAGCAAGCAGGAUUUUAUUUGAUCAAUUGCUGGGGCUAAGAAAAAGAGAAUGAAUUGUUUGACGCUUCAAAUUUCGCACAUUUGCUCAUUCAUAACCUAAGCUCUAUUAAUACCCUACAUCACGCAGCGAUCGUGACCAAGCCACGCCCGCAGCUCCAGAGAAUCAAAAUAUCAAAUCAUCACAUUCUCACAACUCUCUCUCUCUAUAUAUAUAUAUAUAUAUAUAUAUACACACACACACCUGAGGGAGGGAGAGAGAGGGGUCUUUUUCAAUCAAUCGUCGGUGAUGUUUUACCACAACAUAUUAACAUGUACGUAAUAUGAUAAUUUUUCCUCCAUGGACCUCGCGCCUUGCAUGCAGGACACGCGCUGAUGGGCAUAUCAAUUCAGCUGAUCGGACAAUCAGAGGAAGCUAGCCUAGAAAUUGACGAAACAAGACCGCCGAAUCAGAUCAUUACUCAAAACAAGUCUGGCUGGAGAUAGAAGUGCUGGCGACUCGGCAACGGCGGGCGGCUCGGUCAAACGCUUAGCUUGAACCUGAUUCGAAUUAAUCAAGUUCGAAUUCAAGUUUCAGAUCUCAAGUCAGUUCAAAUUCUCUUACAUUCUAUUAGAGUGUUCAAUAAGACUAAUCGAGUAGUUUUAUUAUUUAUACAAUAUAUUUAUUUUAAUUUUAAUUAUGAAAUGAUCAUUAUAGAUUUAUGUUUUAGUAAAGUUCGAGUUUUUGUUUGAGUACUUGAACUCAAAAAAAUUUGAGAAUAGAAUCGAAUCUUACAGAGUCGAGUUCGAGUUAACCUACGAAUCAAGAUGAGUUACAAGUUUUUACUUGAUUGAGUAUAGCUUGAGAAUUCAUCGGAUUCAAACUUCAACACAGUGUUGCUUGAAUUCGACUCGAUGAUGUGUACGUUAAGGAUGCAAUUAUGCAAACGACUUCAAUUGAAUCAAAUAUUAGUGUACUGCAUAAUUUUUUUGUUGUUGUUCACGUGUGUUGGCCCGCAAUUAGGUUGAUCUUCAGUUUAGUGGUUAAGUAUAGAAUUGAGAUCCAAGUCAGACGGUAAGUGAAUUUUCAUGUUUUACAUUUAUAGAGCAAGUAUAAUUAGGCCUAAGGACGGGCACACAGUUGCGACAUACAACAACAGCCAACAGCUACCUACAACAUUUUUGGUUAAUAUGUACCUUUUUUAAGAAGAAAGAAUAGAUAAUGAAAGUUCACCCGUCGCUCAAAAUGAUAUCGGUCACACAGGUGAAGUAUUUUACCGACUUUCUGUUGUAAACACCAAUAAAUUUUCAGAUCCUAUUACAAUAAUGUUGUAAAAUUUGUUUACGAUGAAUUACAACCCAUCUCAGAAUUGAGGGGGAGGAGCGGGUUAAAACGGCUAAACAGAGAAUCAAAUCCGCCGGUGAACCACCAUCCGUUUUACUAGCUAGCUGCAUUUUCUAAAGCUGAAUAAGUUCACGUUUUGAUCAGAGGAGUGUAUUAAUUACAACCACUAUAAAGUAACUUUGGGUCGUGAAAAGUCAAGACACUACUCACUCCACAAGCAUUUUAUGAUCCCCGGAUCAUAGCUUCACGUAGGCGUAGAAAAAUGAAAAAAAAAUAUAUAUAUAUAUGGGAGAGAGAGAGAGAGUGUGUGUGUGUUUGUGGACCCCAGGCGGUUAGUUAAAAGGAAGGAAGGAAGCGGUGUGUUUGUUUGCACUUUGCAGUGUCCGAACCAAUUUUUUUUUUUAAAGGAAAAAUCUAAAAGGAUCUGUUUGCAGUGGAAAAAGUCAGGUUGGUUUUUUUUUUUUUUUUUUUCUCUAUUUCUGGGACUGUUACUGUUAAGGAAAGAGAAGGGAGAGGGAAAUGUAAAUACACUACUGCAUAGAUGGAUGAAUAGAGCAGAAGAAGAAGCAGCAGAAAGAGAGCAUUUUGUUGUUUAGUUGGUUUAACUGCAGUCUGCAGUGGAGUGGGGUGGAGGUAUAAUCAUCAUCCAUUCUUCAUUCUUCAUUCCUGUGGCUGCUUCCUUCAUCCUUUCUGGACUACUUCCUCUCCUCUCCUCUUAUUGCAUUCUAUCACCAAAACAACAAUUAAGCAACCAGGAGGCACUUUUAUCACCUCCAGCUCUCUUUUUCUACUUCCGACUUUCUUUCCGGGAUUGCUCUGCUCUGCUCACUUCUGUUGAUGCAUAUUUUCCUUUUUUUUUUCAAUAAUUAAACCAAUUUCUUUUAUUAAGGUUGUUCAGCUUUGCAGCCAUUUUUCUUCAACAACUAUUCAAUUUAGUUGAGGUCCGUUCCUUAUUUCUCUCUCUCUCUUUUUCUGUUAGCGAGAGAGAGAGAGAGAGCUUUUACUACUACUGGUACUCCUAUUUGGGGAAGAAGAACCAGAUUCUCUACACCAAGAAGAAAAAAGGAUUUUGAAAAGGGAUCAAAUUCACUCUGUUUUUUUUUUCCCUUUUUCCCUUUAUCCUUCUUUAGCUUUUACCAUUUUACCUCUCUCUCUCUCUCUCUCUCUCUCUUUGAGCCUUUGAGGCUGUCCAGUCCCCACUUAUUACCUAAAUGCAUUUCUUCUUCUCUUCGUCUCAUCCUUAUGUGUAGUAAAAUUACAAAUCCUUUGUUACGAUUAUAUGUCUCGAUAGAUAGAUAGGUUGAUUGAUGGAUUGAUAAAAUGCUAAUGAAUAGAAACGAAGAAAGAGAGAUUGCAAUUUCAGGCAGAGAUAAAUCUGGCAUGGAAUCCUCCUCCUCCUCUGUUGAAUUGACUUUUCUCCUUUUUUCUUUUUCUCUUUCCAACUUCUCUUAUUGAUAUAUAGUACUCCUUUAACAACAGAACUGAGCUAAACCCAAAAACCAUAUUUAUCGGGUCUGCUUUCUGGAAACCUUCUCGGUUACUCAGUUACUCACUAAAUAACGUUUUCUGUAAAUUUAAAUGCCACUUCGUCCUCUUUUAGUCCACAUUUUUACUGUCAGUUAGAUUAUUUCUGAUCAUUGCAAAAUUUUUUUUCCUUUUUGGGUUAUUGCAGAUAAUUCUGCGCAUGCAGAGCUCUGCUUGCGGAUUGAUGGUUAUACUAAUCCACCGCUCUCUUCUGGAGGAGUAGGAGAUGUAGACAGAAAUAAAGAUCUAUAGACUGCUGCAUUUGUAUUGAAUUUUGAGGCCAGAGAGGGUCAAAACUAAAUAAAAUGUUGGCCUUGAAAGCAGCUGUCAGAUUUUAAUUCAUUAUCAAUCCCCCCCAUGUCACUAGUGUCCCUAUUCUCAUCCCAGUCCCACAUAUGGACAGCAAUCCGAUAAAAUGCGGAGGAGGUUCUUCGUCGUUGUUUUUGCCUCCAAAGUCCAAACCCCCACCUCACUCAACACCAACAAUGUGGUUAGUACUACUACUACGCUAUACAUGAUUACAUACUCCAAUUUACUCAAAUGUCCAUGCAUUCUUCCCAAAUUUUCAGUUAAUAUUAUUGCUAACAUGCUACCCAAAAAAAAAAAAAAAAAAGCCAUCAAUGCAAUUUUGGCUUUAUCUGCGCUUAUCUUCUUCUAGUCUUUGAUGCAUUUUGGCCCUUUGGAUGGCGGCAUUGACAAAUAUACCGCUUGUCUGAUUUUCCUUUCUUUCGGUUUUUUUUUUAAAAAAAAUUUAUUGUCAUUUCCGUUUUUUUUUUUAUUACCACUCUCUCUCUCUCGCUCUUUUUGUGUGGGGUACGUGUCUUUUUGUUCUCCAAUUCAAGUUUGUUGGUUUUCGUGAAUUGAAGGUUCUGUUUUUGACGGUGGGAAGCUUGCAUUUUUGAAGAAAUCGAGGAAACAUACGCUCAGAAUGGGGCGUGUGGGGUCGGACGGUGAAGCUGAGCUUCGUCUUAGCAGCAGAAAUAGUACUUCCAAUGAAGGAUUUAAGUUUCCCAAAAAGGUAAACAAGUUGUUUGUUUAUUGUCUCUGGUUCAGUGCUCUGGACUACGUAGCGUUUGUUGUUAUUUGUUUGGCCGUUAGCGUAAAUAAAAUGUUGAUUAUUCUAAAAUUCAGAGAGCUUUUUGCAGUUUAUGAAAGGUGACUGCACUACUGUUUGUAAUCUCUCUGUUCCCAGGAAGUUACGAUCAGGUUUGUUAUCCACUUACUGCUCAGUUGCUUAUUCAUCAGGGAAGAUUAGUAGUUGGAGCCCACUAAUUUUAAUUUGGAUCUGAAUGUGGUGGGUCUUGUGGGACGUUUCCUGAUAUUUUUAUAGCCCUGGUGUUUGUGGAAACUUUCUUUCUUUUGCUUUUCCUUGUUUUUCAAGCAAUGAGAAAUUCUCGAGUUGUUUCUCCUACUCCCGCAAUUCAACUUGAGAGGUUGAAGUUUUGGUAUCUGCAAUUAGCGUGUUUGGUGGGGGUUGGGAUCAUUAAUUUCCGGUUAAACAUUGAGAUCACUAGUUAUUCACUAGAAAAGAAAAGGGCAAUAUUGAGAAUUUUGUAUCAAAUGUCACAGCCAUGAAGAAGAGAAGUCGUGAAUCUGUUUCUCCACCAUUGCCAGUUUGCAAGAAGCUGACUCGUGUAGCCGGUGGAGUUGAAUUACUAACAAAAGAUGGUUCCACGAAAUACAAGCUGAAAAUGGUCAGAAAAUAAUGGCCAGAAAUUAAUUUUAUUCUAUUCAUUUCUUGUUCCCCCAUCCCCCCCCCCCCCCCAAAAAAAAAAAAGAAAUUGCACAAAAUAGAACGAAAUCUAUAGAAUAAGUAUGUUGACAAUUGGAAUUGGUUUUGCAGAAACAGAGUCAAGCUCAUGGCUGUGUUGCAGACGGGACCCAAGGGCCUGUCACCAAGGAUGAGGAAGAAGUGGCGGAGGCCUUAUAUGCUUUGGCAGGAGUCUUCUCUAACACUGACAAGACAGAUAAGGCUGGAUCCGCUGUUCAAGAAUUGGGAAUAAAUUCUUCCAACUUGACAAAAGCUGAGAGUCUUUUAACUCCAAUUGAUGGUUUGUUCGCUUCCUUUUGUUUCAGCCUUCAUCAUUGUUUGCUUUGUUUCUUCUUUACGUGAACUUAUAUAAUGUCUAUAGACAUGGCAGUAGGGAAGGUGGAAGAGGAGGUUAAGGCAGUAAGUUAUGGAGAUGAGGCACCUAAUCAUUCGUCAAAUCCAGAACACUCAGGUGGAGAAUCUAUCAUACUUCAUUGGCAAAAUGGCACUUCACAGCCUGAUAUCUUGGUUGGCAAGCAGACAACCAUUGAAGUGGGUAGUGAUAUUCCUGAAGUAAAUCUUCCCUUGACAACUUUCGAAUCUGAUAAACAACAAACCAUCCAAAAAACAUGUGACUCUGUUGUUUCUGAGGAUUGGAGUGAGUUGAGCAAGACAAGGUUUGUGGGUCUGUGUGUGUACGUGUUUUUUUUUAACUUUUUUUUUGUUAAAGCCUAUGCAUAUUUCUGUCUCCAUCAUUCUUUAGUUCUUGAUUGAGCAUCUAUUGGACAGGUCAAAAUUGCCAAAUCUUAAUAAAAGCCUAGCAAGCGUCAAGUGUCCAACAACUGUAUUGGCACCGGUAUAAUUUUGUGUUGCUUCUGAUCAUUUAAUUAUGAUUAAAGAUACAGCUUUGUUAUAGUUUAUCAAACAAAGGGGCGAAAAUAAAGGUGGUGACUUUUGGUGUCUUUUAGAUUGCAGCUGCUUGUGGCCAAGCUGAGGUACAACAUACCAUCAAGGAAACCAGAAAUAAUGGUAAUUUUACCCAGUUGCGAUACUUGUGGUAGUCAAAGAUAUUGAUCAUUUCGAUGAUUAUCAGUCACAGUAUUCAUGCUCUGAAACAGGUUCCUCAUUGAGGCCAGAUUUGCCUUCAAUAACAUCAUGUGACACUCAGGAGCUGGGAAUUCCCUUGCAGUAAUUUCCUUUUCUAGGAACAAUAUACUUAUUGGAACAUAAUGUUUUAUGCUUAUUGACAUGUCAAAACUAUUUCAGGCCACAUAUUGCUAAUCAUCCUGCUUGGUUUGAAAGUACUAGUUGCUCUGCACAGUCUCCAAAAUUGAGUAGUAGUGUCCUAGCUAAAAAGGUAGUUAGAACAUCUGUUUUGAGCUCAAGCUGUCAGCUUUUUCAACAUUUUAUCUGGAGAAUUCACCCUUCUGAAUCACUUGUAAGCAUGCUUUUCAACUUUAAUCAUGCAGGAUGCUCAAGUUUCCAUUCGUUCAAAGAAUCCAUGGAAGAGAUGUAUAGCUCAUGUUUAUAUUAGUCGAUUCAUUAAGGUCCUCCAAAUCACUGAAAGAAAAAACAGAUCAAUAAUGCUUUCUUCGGAACUCGGAACAAAUGAAGCACCAAAGCAAGUGGCGCGUAUACCUGUUGCUAACCUAAAUGAGGGGAGGAACGGUAUGACUGGAGUUGUUAGUUCUGACAGUUUCAGACGCGCUGCUACUGAGAAAUAUGCAACUGAAGUGAGAAAUGCUGUUCAUUUGCACAAGAGACUCAUUCAAGAUCAGCAGCAGGCUCCAUAUGAGGUCUACAAUGCACAGAAGCAGGCGAGUUUUGUUCUCUUUUUGUCACUUUUGAUUGCCGUCGAAUUUCUUCAUUUACCCACUCACUGUUAUCUACGUCUUUGAUUUUCCUUUACAGAGCUUAGAUUGCUUAUCUUUGCUGGCUGGAAGUGGUCAGUUGGAAAUUAGUAAUGGCAUUAAUAGAGCAGGAAAUGGUCGGGAAAUCUCAACACAGCUUCCUUUUCCUGGCCUGCUCUCCCAGAAUCAACCAUCCAUUCCUUUUCCAGUGCCCCAAAAUUGUUACUCGUCUCCAUCUUUCUCUAGUCAUCCUUCAGUAGCCAUGGGGCAGAAGGUAAUACAACUAUUCAGCCUCUAUUAUAUGGUUAACUCAAACUUCUGCCUUGUAGGCUUGAAAGUUUGCAGAUUUAUUUAAUUCAUCAUUUCCCAACACACACCCCCCUCCCCCACCCCCCCCCCCCCCCAAAAAAAAAAAAAAAAAAAAAAAAAAAACGUUCCCCUGCCUCAAUUAGCUCUUCUCUCUGAAGUAUGUGGAAUUCUUCACAACGAUUAAUUUUUAAACGAUUCACCUACAUCAAGUUAAAAAUGGAUGAUGCUAUAACAAGAAAACUUUUGGUUGUUCCUGAACUCAAUAAAUAGAAUGGUCUUUGUUGCUAAAUUUAAUCUACAAUUGGACUUGGAAGGUCAAACAUAGACGCUCAACAGUCGAUGUUAUCAAUCCUGUGUAAUGGAUGAAGAUUAACCACCCUAACAUCAGGUCCUUUCUUUGGGACAUGGACCUCCAAUCUUCUCCUCCUGGUCAAUUCUUUCUCUACAAAAUAUGCUGUCAUCGAUCUUUUAAGCUAGUUCACGAGGUUAACGUGCUCGAUGCUCCCCAAAAAGUCCGUCUUUGUUGUUCUUUUUUUUUCUUCAUUUUUGAGUACUUAUAUGGUUUUCAUUUUUCUGUUGGGAACAUAACUGGCAAAUCUAUGAAAGAAACCUCGGAGUACCUGCUUCCACCAGUGACCAGAUUAUGACCAAAACCUAUCAGUUUAUUACUUGUUACAACUUACAACCUCUUUAACCAUCGAUGUUUUAAUUUGUGACAGUUCCAGGUGCCCCCGAAUGUUGGCAGCACAUCUUAUGGUGCUACCCUUAUGGAUGCUACUCUCUCGUCAAUACAGCAGCUAGAGGAGCAACAACAAAAGCGCGCUUCGCUGUUAAUGACUCGUUACAAAUCCGGAGUUGCCCCGCCAGUUAUACCAAACAAGCAAACUGAAGGGCCAGACAUUCCUCCUGUGUUUCAGCAUGUACAAACCCUUUUCUCACCUUCCCUAUCUUCUGUAGAAGUACUCGGCGCCAG